GGCAGUGGAGGUGAAGUUGAAUCGAAAACAAUCAGUUUGAUGUGCAAAGAUCGUGUUGCUAAAACCCAAUCUAGACGCAGCCAAAUCAAAUUGCAAAAGAUUAUUCUCCAACUGAUACCCUCCAAUCACAAUAGAAGUCCUUAGGUUCACACCACCGUUAACAAAUCCAAGACACAAAACCUCAUCAUUUAUAUUCACCAUCGAAUUUGCACCAAACAUGCUCCAAAUCACAUUGUUCUGUAAAAGAAGCUCAAUUGUAGGCACAGACGCACCCAAUGGCGUCCCUGGCAAAUUGUCAAAACUAUAACAAAAUUCAAAAGGCGGAGAUGAAUCCUCUGUUGUUAUGUUUCUUGCAACAGAUGCUUUCACAAAAGCGUCUGUAACUGCUUUGUAAAUAGAAGCUUCUAGAACCGUGUAAGGAUCAACCGUACUAAUCUUUGUUCCACCAACACCCUUGUUGUCGAUAGACAACAAACUCGAGUUAAGUGAAACCACUUUUCCAUCAAUUUUGAUUGUUUUCACUCCGAUGAAAUACUCGACUGAAGACUCUCCCUGCAAGAAAGCGGAAGCUGUGCUAACAUGAUUGAUUAAAAGCGGCGUGUAUGUGAGUGACUUUGAAUCAAAUACAACGUUAGGGAGAGAAGGGUUGUCAGCGAGAAAACUGUAAGGACCAUCACCGAAGAUGAUGACACCAUCUGAAGAAGAAAAACAAAAAGCAAAUUUUCUUUUGAAAAUAAAAGCAGAAGCUAGUUGAGAUGGAAGAGCGAUUUUGGUUCUUCCAAGACCAGCCAUGCCAGAAGCACCACCUGCAAGUCCUCGUAAUAAUGAUGUUGGUGCGCAUGAAAAUAGAAAGCGUGAAACAACGACAUUUUGUCCUGUGUUGAAACCGCUAGUUGAUUGGAUGGAUAAAACGUCUUCAGCUAGAUCGCCACGAGUAGCGCUGUGUGUGAUGGUGUUGUCCGGAAUGAGGCCACAAGUGUUGUUGCAGCCGGGUUUUGGUGAUGAGAAACAAUCACCACAGCUAUCAGAUUUGGCGAGGGAGCAUUGGGCGGAGGGGCACCGUACAGGGCGGUAUGUGGAGGAAGUGUAGUGGUUUUCACAGUCGACCCAGAGAAAUUUGCCGCCAAGAUCAACGACAAGGUUUAGUGGGACUAGUGGGGUUCUUUGGUUAAUUUGAGCUAUGUAUUGGAGUGUUGUUGCGCUAUCUUUUGUGACUGGGGAGAACAAGUGCUUUGGGUCUGAAUGAUUGUUGAGAGAAAGUUGGUGUAAUGAAGAACAAUAAAAGGAGAAGGGAAAUGAAGUGUUGGAAGUUGGUAUUAGCCAUGACUAGAGACAUUGUAUAUGGAAAAUAGAUAAAUGUUGAGUUGGAGAGGAUGGUGCAGAGGCGGCUCUAUUUAUACUUGGGAUUGAGUAGGAAGAGUUGCCAUUGUUGAUUCAUUAAUGAGUGUGGCACUAAGGAAUGGGUCCUUAAGUCAAAGACAAGUUGAGAUGUUUCUUUUUUUGAAGGAUCAAAGACAGGUUGAGAUGUUAACAAACGUCAGAUAUGAUUGCUACAUUAUUUUUGUGGGCAAUUCUAUGGUGUAUAACCCCUAAAAAAACUAUUUUGUACAAAUGAGAAAAUAUUGGAACAUGUACAAAUUAGUUUUCACCACUAAAUCAAGUAAACUCAUACUUAAAGUUAAAUGAGAAAUAAAAUGAUUUUUUUUAUCAAAUUGGUACAAGACUAUUUUACUUGUGUACGUUAGCCAAAGUCUAUCUUUAUAUCUAAUAUGACAACAAGAUAUUGCCUACAAUAUCUCAACAUGUUAAUAGCUUUUUGGUCAAACUUAAAGACUUUUAGAGUGUGUUUAGAUGGGGGAAUGUUUUGAGGGAAUUCAAAUACUUUGUGGUGAAUUCCAUUGUUUUAAUAAUAAUUUGAAGAAUUUUCAAAAUGAUGGGAAUUUAUGAGGUAUUUUGUUCAAGUUAAAUUUAGAGAAUUUCAAAUGACGCUUAAAAAGUAAGAAUUUCAAGACCUAAUUUUUUUUCAAAAUUUUCAAUUUGACCCCAAUAAAUUUCCAAAAAAUUAUGAAUUGACCCCUCAAUUUUUUAAAAGUUCCCAAAAAUGAUGACAUUGAAAUUUUUUAUUACUCCACCCAAACAAAAUUAUUGAGAAAUAAAUUGACCCCUCAAUUUUUUCAAAAAUUAUAAUUUGACUCCUUCAAAAUUUUUUAUAUUUACAAAUUGACCCCUAAUUUCAAUUUUCAAAUUUGGCCCAAUAAAAUUAAAAUUUAUAAAAGUUCCCCAAAAAUGAUGACAUUGAAAUUUUUUUAUUACUCCACGCAGACAAAAGUAUUGAGAAAUUAAAGGAAUUUAAUUGAAUCAUUAAAAUUACCUAAAAUUUUAAAUUCUUUAAAAUUUCUCAAUUACCUCGUUCAAACACACUCUUAGUUUUUUUUUAUGAGAUGAACAUAAUGAUACCCAUGUAAUUUGAUUGAGCAUGUUGCCCUCAUCUAAUAAUAAUUUCAUGUCAGAUUUUUAAUUUAUUUUAAAAUAAAUUUGAAUAUUAAACAAGAUUUGCCUAGAGAUACUGGGAUCCACCAAAAAACUUUAAGUUACGUAAGAAUUUACCUUUUAAUGAUUCAUCCAUCUCAUUAUAGGCAUUUCUUUUAAAAGAAUUUUUUGUCUCAAAUUGAUAUAUAAUAUCCUUGAAACAUGAAUUCUUUUACCCAUUUAUUUAUUAUAUUUUACUCCACUAACUAUAGUAAGGCAUUCCUUACUAUAUUAUUUCGUCAAAAAAUACGAGUGAAUGCCAACAGGAUGCACAAGUGGUGAUGAACCGUGAGCUAAACGAAUUUGGAUUACUAGCGGACACCAAUUACACACAUUUAUGUAUAAAUGUAUCAAUGGUUGUUGGAUUAAAAUUCGACGAUACAUAAUUCAAACUCAAUAUUUUUUUUUAUUAAAAAGGUUAAAAUUUGUAUGAAUGUGUGGAAAUCGACGACAGUAGAGUAUACUCGCUUUGGGUGCGCAAAGAAUUUUUAGGCUCUCCUAAUAUGGCACCUCAUAAUGGCGAUUGGCAACAUGGUAAUUUUUUUUUUUUUUUAAUGAUUAUAUAUAUAUAUAUAUAUAUAUAUAUAUAUAUAUAAAAGGUGUAUCAAAUGAGAUGAGUUUUAAUAUGAGAUGAGAGGAUUCAAUCUUUACCAUGAUGUCUAAUUUUUAUAACUGCAGAGGAAUUUCACCAUCUUCAUUGUCGUCUGUGUUCUCUCACAACCUUUCCAAUUCCUCACAAAAUCCCUUGCAACUCCUGUAACCCUUAUCCUACUCAAGAAACCUCAAAUCACGUUUCUGUUUUGCUUCUGCACAAAUCGAAUUGAAUAGCUGCAAAUAGGGGUGGUAAAAAACCAUGAACCGAACCAUUAUAAUGGUUUACGAACCGUACCGUUAAUUUAUUAACAGUUCUUGAACCAUAACCGAACCAUCUUGAACCGAACCGAACCAAACCACUUGAACUGAUUUUUUUUUUAAGGAAACCACUUGAACUCUUUGUUGGAUCUUUCCAAAAAAACAACUUAUUUAAAAUAGCUUAUUAUAAAAAGCUUAUUUUAAAAAACAACUUAUUUUAUAAAAACAAUUUAAAAAAAAAAAAAAACUUAUUCAAAACAGCUAAUUUUAUGCAAAAUAGCUUAUUUUAAUAAACAACUUAUUCAAAAAAAAUUAUUUUAUGCAAAACACAUUAUUUUAAAAAACAGCUUAUUUAAAAAUAAAAUAAAAACUUAUUUUUAAAAAAAUCAGCUUAUUCAAAACAGCUUAUUUGAAAAACAACUUAUUUUAAAAAAAAAAAAAAAAAAAACUUAUUCUAUGAAAAAUACCUUAGUUUAAAAACAGCUUAUUUUCAAAAAAUUAACAACUUAUUCAAAACAUGUUUUGAAUAAAAUAAGUUGUUUGAAUAAGCUGUUUUUUAAAAUAAGGUGUUUUGCAUAAAAUAAGCUAUUUUUUAAAAUAAGUUGUUUUGCAUAAAAUAAGCUGUUUUGAUUAAGUUUUUUUAAAAAAAAAAGAGAUUGUAACAAGCUAUUUUUAAUAAAAUAAGCUUUUUAGAAUAAGCUGUUUUUCAUAAAAGAAGCUGUUUUCAUAAAAUAAGCUGUUUUUUAAAAUAAGGUGUUUUGCAUAAAAUAAGCUGUUUUGAAUAAGUUGUUUUUCAUAAAAUAAGUUGCUUAUCAAAUAAGCUGUUUUUUUUUAAAAUAAGGUAUUUUCAUAAAAUAAGCUGUUUUGAAUAAGUUGUUUCUUAAAAUAAGGUGUUUUCAUAAAAUAAGCGGUUUUGAGUAAGCAAUUUUUUAAAAAGAGAUCGUAAUAAAUUGUUUUUUCAUAAAAUAAGUUUUUUUGAAUAAACUGUUUUGCAUAAGAUAAGAUGUUUUUGAAGAAAUAAACUAUUCUAACUUUUAAUUUGUUAUUUUUUUAGGGUUAAUAGGCCUUUACCCCCUAGUAAUAUAGGUCACUUUUGGUUUUACCACCUGUAAAAAAAAAAAUUGGAUUCGGUCCUUAUAAAAUUUUUUUGUUUUGGAAAACACCCGUAGACCAGCUGACUGUGCAUUUUUGCUGAUGUGACAUGUUGUGUCACCUUUUUCGGAUGACGUGGCGCACUGACGGUAUAAUUAUUAUUAUUUUUAAUUUUUUUAUCGGAUACACGUGGCAUUUAUGAUUUUUUUUUAAAAAAAAUUAAAAAUUCUUAAAAAAUUUUAAAAAACGAAAAAAUAUUUUAAAAAAUAAAAUAAAUUCUGGAAAAAUUAAAAUAUUAAUAAAAAUGAUUAAAAAAACGAAAAUAAUUAUGGAAAAAUAAAUAAAAAUGAAAAAAAUCUGGAAAAUUUAAAAAUUUUAGUAAAAUCUAGAAAAUUUAAUUAAAAAAAAUUAAUAUAUAUCAAAAUUUUCAAAAAAAAUAUUAAAAAAAUAUGAAUUAAAAUAAAAUUAUAAAAAAAAAUUGAAAUUCUAUUCUUCAUGAUCUAAUGUUAUGUUUUUUUAAUUAUGAAUAUACUUUCCAAUAUUUUGAUUUUCUGUAUAAAAAAACAAACUUUUUAAUUCGAAAGAAAAAUCUGAACUUUCAUUUUUAAUUCUAUUCUUAUUAGAUUCAUAAAUUUUGAAAUAUUGUAAGUUGCUGAAUUUUUUAUAAAAUAAAUCUUCUUAAUUUCGAAAAAAAAAUAGAAAAUAUUUUUCCAGAAUUUUUAAAUUUUUCCUCUAUUGAAAAUAGAUGGAAAUAUGAAUUUUUUGAAAUAUAUUAAUUUUUCCAGAUUUUAUUUUAUUAAAUUUUCUAUAUUUUUUUCAUUUUACCAGAUUUUUUAAAUUAUUCCAGAAUUUGUUUUACUAAAUUUUCUAGAUUAUUUCAUUAUUUUUCAUGUACCAGAUGUUUAUUAAUUUUUUCAUAAUUAUUUUUCGUUUUUUUUAAUCAUUUUAAUUAAUAUUUUUAUUUUUCUAGAAUUUAUUCGUUUUUAAGAAAAAAUUUAUUUUUAUUUUUAGAAUAUUUUUAUUCUUAUUUCAUUUUUAUAUAAUAUUUUUUCUUUUUUUUAAAUUUUUUUUAAAAAAAUCAUUAAUGCCACGUGUAUCCCAUAAAAAAAAUUAUACAGUCAGCGCACCACGUCAUCCAAAAAAGGUGACGCAGCAUGCCAAAUCAGCAAAAAUGCACAGUCAGCUGGUCUAGGGGGAGGACCGAAUCCAAAAAAAAAAAAUUACAAGGGGCAAAACCGAAAGUGACCUAUAUUACAGGGGGUAAAGACCUAUUAACCCUAUUUUUUAUAAUAAAAGUGGUUUUAUUCAUUGGAUAAAAUAUAUUUAUUUUGUUCGAUUCGGUAUGGUUAAUAGGUAAGCAAAUGGUUAACCAAACCAUAACUUUGGCUCAAUUCGGUUAGUUCCAAACUUGAAACGGUUCGGUUCGAUUUUCCCGAACCACUUCAAAAUUUUGGUUCGGUUCGGUUUUUUGGUUAACCAAACCAUGCCCUUCCCUAGCUGCAGAUCAAAAUGUUUCCUUUGAUCAAGUGAUCGUAUUCGCUUGCAUCUUGGAAUUCACCAACAUACUUAUCGUCAGGAGGAUUAUAAAAUUAGGUUGUUUGUGUAUAAUAAAUAAAAAGAAGGCUUUAAUAUGUGUUUCGUCCCUCCAAUUAGUGGUCAUUUAAAAAUUCGUCCAUGUAAUCGUUAAUCCUUGCAAAUUACUCUUACAAAGUUUAAUCAAUUAAAAUUUCGUCCCUACACCCACUUAAUUACUGCCACGUCAUCAAAUUAGCAAAAUGUCAUGGGAAUGGACAAAAAUAACCUCAUCAUCCUUCUUAGAUCUUAUUCUUUACCACAAUCCAACAAUCUUCAUCAUCAACUUCAAUCCUUCAUCUCUCCCAUUGAACAUUAUAAUCAACAACAAACACAAACCCAAUUUUUUUUUAUCUGUGAGCAACAUAAUGUUCAUCUUAGUGUGUUAUCUAGCUUACCAUCCUUCGCAUCGCACGGUCAAAGCACCAAAAGCAAUUUGCUUCAUUCUCAAUAAGAAUAACCAAAGGUGAGCAAAUAUCAUUCAUUCCUGCACUUUAACAUUAAAAAUUGAAAGGUAUAGUCAUCUACCUUGUACGUAACCAAUAUCAUUGUCCAACCAACCAUAAACCGAUAGAACAUCCCAAAGGUUUGCUUGAUUAGCUUCAUUUUCAUUACAAGGAUCUAUGGAGAAUUUAUUAAUACUUAAAUUGACAAGAUGAUUAAGUUAUGUCGAGGUGGUGUUGUUGGAUCUGUUGAGGUGAUGUUGAAGGAAGUUGUUGGUGGUGGUGUUGGGUUUGUUGAUGAGAAUGAAGAAUGUGGUGGUUGUUGUUGGUGGUGAUAAGGUUGUUGUUGUUGGUGGUGGUGGAGGGGAGAAAAGUGAAGAUGAAGUGAGAAGAAGAAGAGGGAAUCGAUGUUCAGGUGAAUCAAUGUUUUCUUUUUUCAAUUUGAGGAUGAAUAUCCAGCAAGAAAAAGAAGAUGAAGACAAGGGCAAAAAUGUCAUUUCACGUGUGGGUUGGCCAAUUAGGCAGUAAUUAAGUGGGUCAAGGACGAAAUUUUAAAUGAUUAAACUUUGCGAGGCUAAUUUGCCAAGAUUAACGAUUACAAGGACGAAUUUUUAAAGGACUCCCUAAUUGCAGGAAUGAAACACAUAUUAAAGCCUAAAAAGAAUUAGGCUGUUUGUGUUUGUCACUCCAGAUUAGGGAUGGCAAUGGGUACCCAAUGGGUAGGGUACUAUAGUAACCAUCCCCAUACCCGUAUUUGUGAAAAAUGCCCGUACCCUGUGUCCGUACCCUCGUGGGCAAAAACUUAAGUGCCCAUACCCGCACUCAUUACCCGCACUUUAGCCAUGAAAAGAUAAUAAAAAUCACCACACUUGAAAUAAAACUAUGAUCCAAAUUUUUUUAAAUCAACUUACGAAAUAAUAUGAAUCGUAAUAUUUAACUAAAUAAAAAAACAUCCAAAUUAUUCCCAGAAAGAAAAAAAAUAGAUACCUUACAUCAGUUAUACGUUAAAAAGUUGUAGUUGCAUGUUAAAAUCAUAAUAAAUUGUUACUAAAGUUUUUAUUAAUCUGUUUUAGGUUUAAGGUUAGGCUUAAAUAGUUAAAUUUAUUAAUUAAUUGUACACCAAAAAUAAAUAAAUUAUUUAUAAUAUUAUAUAAAUACAUAUAUGUGGGUUGCAGGGCUGGGUAGUACAGUGCCCAUACCCGUGCCCAUACCCAAAUAAAUUUGCGGGUAAUUACCCAUACCCAAGUCCGGACCCAUGAAAGCGGGGUUUUACCCUACCCAUUGCGGAUAUUUUUUGCGGGUGCCCAUAGGGUCUGGGUCCAAUUGUCAUCCCUACUCCAGAUCCAUUUUUGGCUUGAUUGAAACUCUUUUCAAAUCUAAAAAACCUAAAAUAAAUUAUCACACCAAACCAUCUUUUUAUUUGAUCAUCGUAAAAAUCUAAAAAAUCGAUGAUUCAUCAAAUUCUUUUUUGGUUUGAUCAUAAAAAAAAUCUUAAGAUAUCAAAAGUGCCAGAGAUAUAAUUAAAUAUUGAUGGGAGAGACUCAUUUAAGUAACAUUAAGUGACCAAGAUAGAAAAAACUUAAUCAAGGGAUAUCAAAGUAAAAUCAAAUAAAUAGUUAAAGGAGAAUAGAAAUUUAGUCUAAAAUUUAUAUUCGACAAACUAAUCACAUGAACAAUCUACCCAUCACAAGUCAUAUCCAUAUAACACAACUCAGAUCAAUAUGAUGCACCAAAGUAGUCAAUAUGAACAGAUUAUUAAAAGAUUAACGCAUAAUUAUAAUCUUACUUAAUAUAAAUCAAAGGUGGUUUGGUUACUCCAAAUCCCUAACCCUAAUUGCAGCCCUAACAUCCAAAAUGAUAAAUAUAUCCCUGAAUAUCAAGUCAUUUCCCUCCAAUUUGUUGCUUUCCUGCAUUAGUCUUGAACCACUCAAACUCUGGCCCACUCACAUGCUUUUCAUUGGUCUUGAGCCACUCUAUGAAUAAAUGUUUGCUAUAAACGAUGUAUGUAGUUAUUCAAGAACUCAUUAACCAAGACUUAGGCCAACUAUCAACUACUUCAUUAGGUAGAUCACUUCCAUUCUCUUGCUAUUUAACAUUGUGUUUGGAAUGAGGGAGAGAGAUAGGAGCGAGAGAGGUAGGAUAGAAAGUCACAAUUGGAAUUUAGGAAACAUUGGAAUUUGGUGAUACAUUGCUCAUCUUAUACUACCGGUUCAUAAUAAAUCUAUCUAUAGAUUUAACAUGCAAAUUAUGCUUCAUUACCUUUAGAUUCAUAUGUCAAUAACGAAAUUAUUAUUGGUUGUAAAAAAAUAUAAUGAUAUUCAUUUAUAAUCGCAUGGGGCAAAAGUCUAGUCAAUGAAAAAGCAAAUACAGUAUUUGCUUAGGUUUUUGUCUUGGACAAAUUAUUCAAUAUUGUGCUCGUGAUUUUCGGAUAUCAAACCAUUAAUUGAUUUGAAUCGUUAAUCUUUGAACUCUCGAUUUUUAUUCGUGGGAAGGGAAAAAAUGAGUAAAAAACCCUUAUCGAGACUUUGGAUUCGGGGGUUGGUUACGCGAAGGGAAGGUGUUAGCACCCUAAGCGUCUACGGUAUUCCGUAGGAACCUCUUACCUAAUUUAUCUUGUGCUAAAUUCAUUGCUUAUUUGAAAAUUAUUACCUAAAAAUCUAAGUGAAAGAAUGGGGGGAGAAGAAGUAUAUUUUUGGUUAUUUUUAUUUGAUUUGGAAGGAUAAAAAUCCUAUGCCUACAUACCCUUAAAGAAAAGGGAUCAAAACCAAUGUAGUUCACCUAAAAAGUUUCUUUUUGGUGGGUUGGUUAAUUUUAACAAUUUUGGAAAAAGGUUUUAAGAAGAGAUUAGAGGCCUCAAGGCAUGAGAGAAAAUAAGGUGAGGUUGGUCAAAUUUUAAUUACAAGAAAAUCAAGUCUAAUAUGAAUAUUAAUUCAAUUAAGCAUUUGAUUAAGAAAAUAAAAGGAAAAACACUUGGGUUACAAACCAAGGUUUAUUAAGAAAAAUAUUUUUUGAAGUUUCACAUAUUUGAUUUUUUUGGUAAAAAGAUUUUUUCUAAACUAACGGUAAAAACUAACGUAAUGCAACGUAACAAGAAAUAAAAGUGGAGUGUCGGUGCAUGUGUUAUUACAUCAAUUUCUAAAUACAUUCUAUGGUCUCAAGAGAAAUAUAAUAGCAAGAAAUAAAAAUACACAAAAAUAAAUUACAUCCAUUUCUUAAUUAUACACACUAAAUCAAUGAUGGCAAGAAUUAAAUAUGCAUGCAACAGUUAUAAGUAAGCAUAAAAUAAAUUGAGCAUGAAAUAAAUCGCAAUUAAUAAUAAACAAGCAAAUAUCAUGAUAAAAUAGUGAAAAUAAGCAAUUAAAAACAAUUUUUAUGGCUAGAAAGUUUAAAAGGAGGAAGAUAAAAAUUUAACAUAAAAAUAGACAUUAAAAUAACAAAAAUGAUAUAAAGCAUAUGAAAAAAUAGUGGAGAAAUAAUAAAAAAAAACCAAAUGGCUCAGUUAGGAUGAAUAUGGACCACUUGAUGAAUCAGGAGGUCUAGAUUCAUCACUGUAUCAACUCAUCACAACCGCCAGAUCAAUGAUCUAGAAGUUAAAAAACAAAAGGAACACAGGGACCGAUAGAUUUACAAUCUAACGGUUUAAAUAAAAAGAACACAGUGAGCAAAAUAAACAAGCAUGCAUACAAAACAACUGAGGAGGCAUCAACAGCCGUUAGAUCAAAGAUCUAACGGAUCACAGCAAAGGCACAUGGAGAUAAUCAUGAAGCGCACACACAGGAACAGACCAAACAAAAAGCACUAUAAAAGCAGAUCAAACAAAAAAAAACACACAAUUCCUUUCAAUUCUCUCUCUAAGUUUAACUUAGAGAGAGAAGCUCUCCCUUCUCUCUAAAAAUUUUCUGAAAAAAAAAACGGAAGAGGAAGACGAAUCUUCAUCUUCUCCGGCGAGCUUCGCCGCUCCUGUGCGGUGGUUUGCCGGCCCAACAGGGCGGCGCCACCGCAUCGGAGAUACGAAACAUCUCCGAUUUCAAAUCUUUUUACAUAUUCUAAAAUCCUUUUUUCUCUACUUCUCAAAUAUCAACUCAAAAUUUUCAAAACAACAACACAGAAGCCUAGAUCUAAACUUGAAGAUUCAGUUUCAAACUUUUCUAUUUUUUAACCGUUUUCCAAAAAAGAAACUCACAUCUCAUACAGAUUUAGGAAGUAAAAUGAAAAGGAGAAGAAAGAACAAAGUGAUACUGGUUACCUCUUUAGAUCGGUUACGAUCUUGGAGGUUAUACUUCUGAGAAAAAUAAAAAAAAUGUUCGAUCUAGCUUCUUCCUUGCUCAAAACGGUCCGAACGUUCCUUCCCUUCUUGUUGCCUCACGGAUCCAUCUCGGAUUCGUACGGAUCUGCUCCGGUACAGUUGGAAUUCGAAAAGCGGUUUGGAUCGGUAAUGGAAAAGAGUUAUCGUUUCGAUUUUGGUUCCGAUCUGUGAUAGUGUGAUAUUGUGACUUAUGGAAAAUUCGUGGAUGAACAUUCAUGAAUUGUUCAUAUUGUGUUCACGAUAUUUUUGUGAUUUUCUUCUGGAAAUUGGAAAGGGGAAUGAGAUUAGGGUUUUGGAUGAUAUGACUGCGGCUGAAAAAGUCCCUGCUGCGUGAACAGUGCCGCCUCCUUUUCCUCCUUUUGCAGGUUUGAUUUUAUAGCAUUAGGGUUGAAGGGAAAAAGGAAAUAACUUGUAGAAAACAGCAACCGUGUGCUGGAUUUGGAAACAAACGUUUGACUCUAUGAACCUGCCUGAAUAUGAGGCAUAUGAAAAAAAUAUUUUUUGGACCUUUGCUGGGAUUUUUGCGGACUCAUUGACAUUAUAGCACAAAAACAGAAAAUAAAUUAUUAAAUAUAUAAAAUGAGUAACUAAUUUUAAAAUCAAGACUAAAAUUAAAACUAAUAAAAGAUGGAACUUAAAUACUGAAAUAAAGAGAAAAUAAAGAGAGAAGAGGGCCCGACUCGGAAUAAAAAAUGAGGUACUUCAAAGUAACUUAUUUGUUGAAAUUUCGUCUGAAACGACGAAAAUUCCCGACUUUAAAAAUACGAAUAAAAUGGAUAAGAAUAGAGAAAAGUGAUCAAAAUUUGGGGUAAGACAAAUAUAUUAGAUACAUAUAUCCAACCAUUUGUAUAGAAAGGGGAAAAUACAUUCUUUAGUUUACAUCAAAUAUAACUACACUCCUUGCAAACCAUACAUGAACUUCAAUGCAAUUUAUUAUGAACAAAGGAGACACUAAUUAUUCAAACUUGAAAGUGUAUAAAAAAUAAUGCUGAUUUUGAAAAAAGCAUCUAGGCAGUGGAGGUAAAGUUGAAGUUAGAACAAGUAGUUUGUCGUCCAAAGAGCAAGGAGCUAAAUCCCAAUUUAGAAGCAGCCAAAUCAAAUUGCAAAAGAUUAUUCUCCAACUGAUACCCUCCAAUCACAAUUGAAGUCCUUGUAUUCUUACCACCAUUCACAAAUCCAAGACACAAAACUUCAUCAUUUAUACUCACCAUUGAAUUUGCACCAAAUAUCCUCCAAACCACAUUUUCAUUUUGCAAAAAGAGCUCAAUAGUAGGCACAGCUGCACCCAAUCGUGUCCCAGUCAAAUUAGUGUAACAAAAUUCAAAAGGCGCAACCGAACCCACCCUCUUUAUGUUUCUUGCAGCAGACGCUUUCACGAAAGCGUCUGUAACUGCUUUGUAAAUAGAAGCUUCUAAAACCGUGUAAGGAUCAACCGUACUAAUCUUUGUUCCACCAACACCGUUAUUGUCUAUAGACAACAAACUAGUGUUAAGUGAAACAACUUUUUCAUCGAUUUUUAUUGUUUUCACGCCGAUGAAAUACUCGGCUGAAGGCUGACCUUGUGAGAAAGCAGAAGCUGUGCUAACAGGAUUGAUCAAAAGCGGUGUAUAUGUAAGCGAAUCCGAGUCAAAAACAACGUUGGGAAGAAAACCGUAAGGUCCAUCCCCGAAUAAAACAACUCCCUUUGAAGAGGAAAGACAAAUAGCGAAUUUUCUAGCGAAGCUAAAAGCCGAAGCUAGUUGAGAUGGAAGAGCUAUUUUGGUUCUUCCAAGACCAGCCAUACCAGAAGCACCAGUUGCAAGUCCUUUUAGUAAGAAAGUUGGUGCACAUGAGAAUAGGAAGCGUGAAACCACGACAUUUUGUCCUGGGUUGAAGCCAUUAGAGGAUUGGAUUGAUAAAACAUCUUCAGCAAGUUCACCGCUGGUGGCGGUGUGGGUAAUGCUAUUGUCCGGGGUGACACCACAAGUGUUGUUGUUGCAGCCAGGUUUUGGUGAUGAGAAACAAUCACCACAGCCGUCGGAAUUUGCAAGGGAGCAUUGGGCUGAACGGCAGCGUGCAGGGCGGUAUGUGGAAGAAAUGUAUUUGUUUUCGCAGUCAACCCAAAGAAACUGGCCACCGAGAUCGACGAUGACGUUCAGUGGGACUAAUGGGGUUCUCUGGUUGAUUUGAGCUUUGUAUUGGUUUGUUGUGGCCCCAUCUUUUGUGAUUGGGAGAACAAGGGCUUUUGGCCUGAAAGAUUGUUGAGAGAAAGUGGGUGAAAUGAAGAAAAAUAGGAGAAGGAUUGUAAUGAAGUGUUGAAAAUUGGAAUUAGCCAUGGCUAGAGUGUAAAGAUGUAAAUGAUAUUGAGUUUGUGAAGAUGGUGUUGAGGCAGGUCUAUUUAUAUUAUAUUGAUCGAGUUGCCACAUUUGAUUUGGUUCAUAGUGUAUUAAAGAAGUUGGUGCUUUUAAGUCAAAAACAAUUUGAGAUGUUAACAAUGCCACGUUUCUUUGUAUCUAACACGACUACAUGAUGUUGCCUUGUUUAUAUUAUCUGGACACCACAUUGAUUUCUUUGGUCAAACAUGACAAUUUCAGUUUUCUAUAUUCUUCUUCCUUUAACGCGUUACUAAGUUUCAUCUUUUUAUUUUUUAUUGCAGUGUUUUAUCUCUCUCAAUUUCAAAAGACUGAAGAGGUACUUCUUUGUUGUUAUGCAGUGCAGGCAUGAGUUACUUAAUAUAUUAUUGGAAUUCUUGUACAGUGUGUAAAUAUACUUACGUAGAUUAUUAAAAAGUGAUAGCCCAAUUAUGGCAAAAUCUAACUAAAAUAGAGUUUCAAAUUUGUACACUAACAAGAUUUAUCUAGACGUAGAAAGAGUGUACGCGUAAUCCAAAAGUUCAAAUAUUUCUCCUGAUGAGAUAUAUCUUAUCUGUAACUUAUCCAAAAUGAAUACAUGUAAUCCAUUAAUUAAUUAGUAAGUCGAAUUACUUUAUAGGUCUAUCGUUUGUUGGAAAUUACACGGCUGCUUAAUAGAUUUUUUAAGUAAGUUUUAAAGGCUAUUUUAUGUCAACAAAUGUAGCUGGGAGAUUAGACUCCUAUAAAAGCGACAACUAAAAUUUGAAUUUAUGAGAAGUAUCAACAUUCAGUGUCUGAUAUAAUUCCUUUCGCACAUCAUGUGUAGGAUGUAACAUCGUUGGUUUCGCAAUAUAAUUUUAUUCUGAUUUGUUAAAAGAAAAGAAAAAAACAAAUAGUGUAUGAUAUGUGAAAAUUAGAAUUACAUUUACACAUGUCAUUCCUUAAUUUAGUUUAAUAAUGAUUUGAUUAUUUAUUGUUUUUUACGUCAUUUUGGCUCUUUUGAAUUGUUUGCACAUAUGAAUUCUCAAGUUUUAAAUCUAAAAACUGAGAACUCACAGGAAAAUAAAAUCAUAUAUUUAAAUCUUGAAAAUGUAUGUGUAAAGGGACCAAAAUAGGUAAAAUGACGUAAAAAAAAAUUAAAUGACGAAAUCGUUAUUUAAAACUAAGUUAAGAGAUCGUGUCCAAAAAAAAAACUAAGUUAAGAGACGAAUUCAAUUUUGUCAAUAACAUCUUACAAAAAAAGAAAGUUAUGGAAAAAAAUUGUGUCGUUUUCAAAGCAACUUAGAAUAUCAGGAGAUUUAGUAUGUGGGACUUUGGUUAACUCAAUUUAUAACUUCAACAAGGCUGAUACAUAUCGUGUUAAAACAUAUUUUGAGGCACCUUUUAGAUCAUCUUUUUUGUUAACAAUCAACUUAAAAAGGUUUUCACAGGGCCGACCCAAUGUACUUGUAGGCCUAAAGUGAAUUUUAAAUAAGGCAUUUUCAUAGGUUUCCUCAAUUGAAAGUAAUUAUAUUCGAUGUAUCUUAGACAAUAAUGUGAGUAUCUCUCCAGUUAAAAUUCGAACAUUGGUUUUCAAAAAACCUAGGGCCGGCCCUGGGCAUAGGCCAACGAUGGGAGAUGUAUACAGAAAUAUUAGGUUUAUAUGGGGUAUAUAUAGCAAAUUAGUUUAUGUAAGAUGUUUAGGCUAAAAUGUUAGUCAUACUACGCAAUUGAACAUGCAUAAAUACAAGAAGCAUCUGAGAUGAAAUACAAAUGCUAUGAUUUGUAGAUAGCUUAUUGAGCUAACAACAGAUAACUAACUAACUAUUUAUAGACAUGCAAAUUAGUCCUCCACCAUAUGCAAUUUUGGCAAGGCUAUACAAUCACCUGUUAAUCAAAAACCAUUUUUAUAAUAAAAACAUAAAAUAAAAACAAUAACAAUCAGUCCAUAGAAGAUCAUCAACUUAAUGUCCUGAAACAAAUUAUGAUCUCCAAUUGUUUCACUUUUUGUAGUUGCAUUGUCAAAAGAUUUGUUGGCAACAUUAACGGUGUUUGGUGCCACGUAGUUGUUGUUAGUAUGUGGAACAGGGUCAUUGUACAUACAAUUGUAAUCGUAACCAUGGUGAUAAGGAUAAGUAACACCAGAAUCAUCAGCACAAAUAUGAGUUGAACCAGAAUGAUUUCGGGUGGAGAAGUGGAGUGUCCGAGGUUCGAACCCUCUGCAUAUAAAAUGCGAUAUUCCUACCAAUUGAGCGAAACUCACGGGGAUAUGUGGUUUCUUUAUUAUGAUCACAAUCACACCACUUUGAGAACUUCUUGCAACUUUAUAAUGAUUAUCUUUAAUUUUUUUGGCUUUAUCCAAUAUUUGCUGAUCAGCUAGACUCUUUACGGUCAGUUUUCCCACAUCCCCUUCAAUCAGAUCAAAUGUGUAACCACCUGCAGAAUUGUGUACAAAUCAAUGUUUCAAAAAUUGAACCGAACAUCAUAUUAGUGACAUUUCUAAGUCGUAGUUUGACUAUUUGAAUUAGAAUAAAAUCGCAAUUAAACUGUUCGAUUCAAUUCAGUUUUUAAAACAUUCAUAUGAGCAAAUUUUUGUAUUGAAAUUAGCUUGCUCAUAUUAUAGUGAAGUCAAGAAGAAGGGGACAAAUAAGUGUGAUACGUACCAUUUAGUCUUGUUGAUAAUUUCCCUAACGAACUUUGACAUUUCUUGCAGUGUACUUUAAAGCGGUAUGUCUGCAAGUGAAUAAACAAAUCAUGUGAAAGAGAAAUGAAAACACGUAAAAUAGUUUUGAUAUAUGAAACAUAACCACCGACGCAGACACUGUUGAUGUCACAAAUAAAUUUACAAAUUGAAAUGGAGCUUCUAAAAAUAGGACAUCGAAAUUGGAGCUUUUACCGCUUAUUUACAAAUUGAAAAGUUUUGAUUGUUUCAUAAAUAAAUAAACUAACGAUUAUUUUUAUGAAUCAAAAAACUAUUUGUCGAUGUUGAAAAUUUUUCCAACACUCCAAUAAAUCACUUUAGAGUGUUGUUUGUGCUUCCUAAUAUUCAAUAUAUACUACUUAUAGGUUGAAUUUGUAUGUAUAAAUCUCAAAUUAGAAGAAUUUAAUAAGUGGUUAAUUAAAAAAUGUACCUUUCGGAGGAACGUCGAACGAAACCAUUUAAGUAUAUUCUAGGAGGCCGUUAAGGACAAGCAAGAGAAUGAUAUGCUACCUUAUGUAGGAGAUGAAUAACCUUCCUAUUUAUUUAUUUGAUUUCAUAAAAAAAAAAAAUCUUUUAGGAGUAUUUCAUAAAUUCUUGAUCUUAUGUCCUUAUGUCAUACAUACAUAUGAGCAUGCUCAAAUUUAAUGCGCAAUUGCAGUCGUGAGGAUGCUUCAUCAUUUAUAUAUAAAAACAAUAAAUUACAACUUUCAAAGGGGAAGUGAUUUGGCUCAACCUCACAAAGGAAAAAUUAAUUUGAUGACUUGGAAACUAAAGCAUGCAUAUUUAUAAUAAGGGUUUUUCUAUAAUAGAAUAAUAUACUUUUUUUUUUUUGCUUUCGCAUCGGUUUCCGACCCAUCAAAGGUGAGCGACUAAUUCGGCUCAUGCGUAAAGGCAUGCGCACUGGCCAAGUGUUGUUCCCCCUGAAAAUCGAACCCGGUAUUCCAGGGUACGUCCUUGGAAUGAGCUCUUUGCCACUGAAGUCCAAACAACUUUGUUAGAAUAAUAUAUUUUAGUUCACAUUUCACGUACUUAUUUUACUUUUUCCCUCAAUGAUCGAGAUUUAAAAAUAAAAUAAAAUUGUACUAUCGUAAUAAGAAAUAAAACCAAAAAACAUUGCUCAAAAAAAAAAAACCAAAAAACAUUAAUAUCAAAGUGGAGAAGGGUAAUGCUGUAAAUUCCACUUAAUAAUUAAAAGCAGAAACCUCUUUCACACCAAAACACACAUAUGUUUUGUCGCAGGUUACGAUUUUCAACAACCUCUUUCAACACAUAUGUUUCAUUGUGUAAAAAAAAAAAAACAACCUCUUUCAAAAGUCAGUGCAGUUUGCAAUAAUUAAAUCAUCUCAUCAACUUGCAAAAUAUAAUAAUAAUUUUUUUUGAACAGGAAAAUAUAAUAAUAAUAAUUAAUCAUCACAAUUAACAAGUUGUCAAUUAAAUCAUCACAAUUAAUAAAUUAUAUCAUUGCAAAUAACUCAUCUGAAAAUGUAGAUAAAAAACCAACGAAUUGGUUCAUCGUCAAUGGCUUUUUCCAUUAGAAAAAAAGUUAGUAGCUUUAAGCAUGUAUGCCAGGCUAGGCUGCACUUAUGGUGCAUAAAAUCUAGAAAUGGUUUUUGUGAGUUGUAUUUCAAAAUCAUUAGAUGUACUUAAUGGUUUCUAGCACUCUGCAUAUAUCAGAGUAUGUUUUGUAUAAAAUUAUGUCAAAACCAUUUUACUGUGGAAAUGAUUUCUGUGAAUUGUACUCCAAAAACCAUUUCUAGAUUUAUGCAGAGUGCAUAAGGAUUUCCUUAUGCACCAUAACCGCAUCCGUCAGACUAAUCGACACAUUGCAAGUGCAAAAAUAGGGAGCACCUAUAUAUGUUUUUAUUUAAUUUGAAAGAUAAAUUGUAAUUACCAAAAAUACACUUUAAGUUUAAGUGACAUACAAUAGUGGGAUUUGGGUUUUCAGUAAAAACAAAGUGGAUGUAGCUUGCUAACUUACACCUUAGUUAAAAGUGGGUGUAAGUUAGCAGCCCCAAUGUUGCUAAAACACAUAUUCUAGAAAAUAAGUGGGUGUAUGUUAGCAACUCUUAUAUGCAUUUGCUGGGAUACACCCACUUAUUUUUUAGAAGGUGUAAUUUAGCAACUCCUAUAGACAUUUGCUAGGAUACACCCACUUAUUUUUUAGUGUAUGUUAGCAACUCCUAUAUGCAUUUGCUAGGAUAUAUAUAUAUAUAUAUAUAUAUAUAUAUAUAUAUAUAUAUAUAUAUAUGGAGAUAGUACUCCCUUUGUCCUUAUAUCUAAGCACCUUUUGCAUUUUUUACAUUUCUUAAGAAAAGUUGUUGGUGCAUUUAAUGUGUCUAUUUUGUGCGUUAAUAUUACCAAAUUGUCAUUUGUUUGUAUGUGUAUAAAAUUUGACUUUUCAUAUUUUAAGACAAGUUAAUAAUAUUAAUUAGGGAUAUGUUUAGGAAAAAAAAUAAUAAAUGCAUAUAGUAAUUCAAAAGCGAUAUACAUCUAAGGACAAAAAUAAAGUUAAAUGUGUGCUUAGAUAUAAGGAGGGAUUAGAUAUUUUUAGAAUAAGAUUUUAAUUCCUUUUUCUAAGGGAAGGUGAAUGUAGGUUUUAAAUUUGUUUUUGACAUCUCAAAUCCAAAAAUAGAAUGUGGGAUAGUAUAAAUGGAUGGGAACUUCUAUGGUACACUCAUAAAUUAAGGUGUAUCGGUAUUCCUGCUUCCAAAAUUUAUAUAUUAACAAUCAACUUUAUGAAAUAAAUAGUUAUUUGUCGGCAUUUAUAUCUCAGAAAAUAUCAUUUCAUAAGAAAAACACAUCAUUCAUUGUUUAUAAGAAUCAAUAAUUUUUUUUACAUAUUUUCGUAUAAAAUAAUCAAAGUUCUCUAUUAUGAGCGAUAAAAAUUCAAAAAAAAUCAAUUUUAAUUCGUUGAUGCUUUUGGUGAAUAAGAUUUUAAUCAUUAUAAUUAUAAAUGAUAAAAAAAUAAUAUAUUUCUUCAAAAAAUAACUCAUUUAACUAUAAAUUUAAGGAUUUGAUGUACCGGUACACUCAAAAAUGUUGGGUGUACGGUAGAAUUUGCCUAAAUGGAUACGGAGAUGUUUCAACACAAACAAUUAUGAUAUCUUUGCUUUCUCAUUUGAAAUUUUGAAUAACAAAACCUCCCCCGACAACUUCCUCUCUCACCCUUUUCCAAUACCUUUCUUUAAUCCAUCCCCUAAUCCUCCACUUUCAUAUAAUCAAUUCAUUAUCUUUUUUAAAACAUUUUAUUAGUUAGUGAAGAGCAGGGGAAUGGAUCCUCUGCGGUGACUGCAGAGUCUUAAAUAUGAGCCUUUAAACACAAUUAAAUACUUAAAAAUAUACUCCCUCCGUCCCAAAUUGUAUGUCACUUUGGAAAAAAUAUUUGUCCCAAAUUGUAUGUCGCUUUACAAUACCAAUAAAAAAUUAAUAUUACUUUUCCUAUUAUAUCCUCAACUAUUUAUUACUUUCUCUUCUUUCAAUUCCUUCAUUUAUCUUUUCCAUAUCAUUUAUUGAGGACAAUUUUGUAAAACAACUCAUAAUAUCAUUUUCCCACACAAUAUUAAUUACAUUUCUUAAUAAGUGUGAAAUGUCCAAAACAUCAUACAAUUUGGAACGGAGGGAGUAUAUGUUAAAAACUUGAAAUUAGGAGAGAUAAUGAAUUUAAUGGUUUAGAUUCCCACAUUGAAAAACAAGAUAAAAAUACACUGGAGCAAAUCAUCUCCCACAGAGGGGGAAGUUGAGAGGAAAGUAUCAUAGCAUUGGAGAAUGUGAUUUUGUGAAGUAUAGUAACCUAACCUGUUCCGUAAUGACAUGAUAUGGUGGUGGGGGUGGCAGGUAUAGAAUAUGAUAUCUUUUCAAAUCUCAAAAAAUCUAAAAUCAAUUACUACACCAAAUCAUCUUUUUAUUUGGUCAUCGUAAAAAUCUCAAAAUCGAUGAUUCAUCAAAUCUUUUUUGGUUUGAUCAUAAAAAAAAUCUUAAAGAGAUCGAAAGCGACAAAAAUAUAAUUAAAUAUUGACGGAAGAGACUCAAUUGACUAACAUUAAGCAACCAAGAUAGAACAAAAACUAAUUAAGGGAUAUCAAAGUAAAAUCAAAUAAACAGUCAAAGGAGAAUAUAAAUUUAAGACAAAUUAAUCAAAUGAACAACUAACCCAUCACAAGCCAUAACCAUAUAACACAAUUCAAAUCAAUAACCGUUUGUUGUGCCUUCAAAAAAAAUUCGUUUUAAGAUUUCAGGUUCGAUAUUCUCUCCGAUGUCAAUUUUAAUGGACUAGUUUAACUUCAUAAAAAAAACGUUUGUUUAUAAUUAAAUGCAUUAUCAAAGAAUAUAAUAGUUGAUAUAAUACUUUAUUAUUUUAAUAUUUGAUCGAGGUUAAUCUAUAAAAUAAAAUCCAACUUACUAAUGUAAAAAAUAUAUGAUGCAUCAAAGUAGUCGAUAUGAACAGAUUAUUAAAAGAUUAACGCAUGAUUAUUACAAUGAAAAAGCAAAUACAAUAUUUACUUAGGUUUUUGUCUUUGUGGGCAUUUCUAUGGUGCAGUUAAGAAAUUGAUUUAUUUUUUUAAAAUUAUUUUGUUUAGGAAAUAAGAUAAAUGUUAUUUUAUGAAGCAAUCGCAAAGGAAAAGUUAUCAAAGGUGAUUUAUGACUACUAUGCAUCCGGGGUAGAGGACUAGUGGACUUUGAAAGAGAACCAACAUGCAUUCUCAAGGAUUCUAUAAUUUACAAACUACUUUUAGUUUAUAUUCAUCUUCCAUUUAAUUUAACCUUGUGUGCUCUAUUGAAUUAAGCACUCGUUUCACUAUCUAUAUUAAUCUGAGAAAUAGGUUCAGGCCACAGAUUCUUAUGGAUGUGAGCAAGAUAGAUUUGACAACAACUAUAUUAGGCUUAAAUAUUUCAAUGCCUAUCAUAAUUGCUCCUACAAUCUUGCAAAAGAUGGCUCACCCUGAAGGUACUCACUGUUCUGCGUUACAUUAAGAUAUUACUCUUGCAUUAUGUUUUUUUUGUUAUUGUCAUUAUGUACAUUUUUUUAUAAGAGUUCAUGUACAUUUUGUUAAUACAUAUGUGUCGGAUUCUUCAUGUGUUUGACAUUGAAGUUUAUUUUUUACUAAUAUAGAAAAGUUGGUUUUUUGGAAAAGUUAUUUAUUUAGCCAAAAGUUAUGUCUAUAAUAUAAUAAUAAAAAUGUUUAAUUUUGAUUUAAUCAGAGACUCAGUAUGACUGCACCAUAAAAGGGGGAAAAUACAUUCUUUGGUUCAUAUAACUACAAUCCUUGUCAAACCAUACAUGAAUUUCAAUGCAAUUUAUUAUGAACAAAGGAAACACUAAUUAUUCAAACUUGAAAUAUGAUUCAAACUUGAUAGAGUAUAAAAAAAAUGUUGAUUUGGGAAAACGGCAUCUAGGCAGUGGAGGUAAAGUUGAAGUUAGAACAAGUAGUUUGUCGUCCAAAGAGCAAGGAGCUAAAUCCCAAUUUAGAAGCAGCCAAAUCAAAUUGCAAAAGAUUAUUCUCCAACUGAUACCCUCCAAUCACAAUUGAAGCCCAUGUAUUCUCACCACCAAUCACAAAACCAAGACACAAAACCUCAUCAUUUAUAUUCACCAUUGAAUUUGCACCAAAUAUCCUCCAAAUCACAUUGUUCUGCAAAUAAAGCUCAAUAGUAGGUACAUCCGCACCCAAUCGUGUCCCAGUCACAUUAGUGUAACAAAACUCAAAAGGUGCAACCGAAUCCACCCUUUUUAUGUUUCUUGCAGCAGACGCUUUCACGAAAGCGUCUGUAACUGCUUUGUAAAUAGAAGCUUCCAAAACUGUGUAAGGAUCAACGGUACUUAUCUUUGUUCCACCAGCACCGUUGCUACUGUCUAUAGAUAACAAACUAGUGUCAAGCGAAACAACUUUUCCAUCUAUUUUAAUAGUUUUCACGCCGAUGAAAUACUCGGCUGAAGGCUCACUCUUUGCGAAAGCAGCUGUGCUAAAGGGAUUGAUCAAAAGCGGUGUGUAUGUGAGUGACUUAGAAUCAAAAACGACGUUGGGGAGAAAACCGUAAGGUCCAUCCCCGAAUAAAACAACUCCCUUUGAAGAGGAAAGACAAAUAGCGAAUUUUUUAGCGAAGCUAAAAGCCGAAGCUAAUUGAGAUGGAAGAGCUAAUUUGUUUCUUCCAAGACCAGCCAUACCAGAAGCACCACUUGCAAGUCCUUCUAGUAAGAAAGUUCGUGCACAUGAGAAUAGGAAGCGUGAAACCAUGACAUUUUGUCCUGGGUUGAAGCCAUUAGAGGAUUGGAUUGAUAAAAUAUCUUCAGCCAGUUCACCGCUCAUGGCGCUCUGGGUAACGCUAUUCCCUGGGGCAACACUGCAGGUGUUGUUGUUGCAGCCAGGUUUUGGUGAUGAGAAACAAACACCACAGUCGUCGAAUUUGGCAAGGGAGCAUUGGGCAGAGCGACACCGUGCAGGACGGUAUGUGGAGGAAAUGUACUGGUUUUCGCAAUCAACCCAGAGAAACAGGCCACCGAGAUCGACGAUGAUGUUCAGUGGGACUAGUGGUGUUCUUUGGUUGAUUUGAGCUUUGUAUUGGUUUGUGGUAGCGACAUCUUUUGUGACUGGGAGAACUAGGGCUUUUGGCCUGAAAGAUUGUUUAGAGAAAGUGGGUGAAAUGAAGAAAAAUAGGAGGAGGGUUGUAAUGAAGUGUUGGAAAUUGUAUUUAGCCAUGGCUUGAGAGUAAAAAUAGUGUAUUAGUGUAUGGUAUUGAGUUUGAGAAGAUGGUGUUGAGGCAUCUCUAUUUAUAUUGCAUGGGAUAUUGAUAGAGUUGCCAUUUGAGAUGUUAAAUAAAAAACGUCAAAUAUGAUUGUCACGUUUCUUUGUAUUUAACACGAUGUUGCCAUUAUUAAUUAUUAUCUGCACACAAUAUUAAAUUCUUGGUCAAACUUGAUGUACUACAAUUUUUUAUAGGCAAGUAAUUCAUGGAUUAGUGACUAAGACACCCUUUUUUAUAUUCUUCGUUGCUAUGCUAUGUAGGCAUGGGUUACUUUAUAUUUUUGAGGAAAAAUAAAUACCACUUCCGUCUCUAUAUACAAGACCUUUUUGUCAAAAUUACAGGAAUUAAGAAAGUAGAUAUUUUCAUUAAAGUUGUUUGUAAUUACUAUUGUUUUUACAAUUUUAUCUUUUAAAAUAGAGAGUUAGUUUAUGUUUUGAACAUGUUAUUUAUUGCUGAUUGAAGAAAAAGAUGUGAAAUAAAUAGAGGCAUGUAUGUAAAUAAAUAAUAAAUGUGCUUAGAAAUAACAAAAGGGUCUUAUAAAAAGUGACAUUUUAUUUUUAAAAGGAUCUUAUAAUUAUAGAUGGAGGUAGUAUUAUUUAAUGAAGUUUCCGAUUCGCUGCAGUUUGUUUACAUACAUAAUUUAUUAAGUAGAUAAUUUUAUUUUUUCAAUUUCAUUUAGAUCGAAACCACGUGAUCUUUAUUUUUCUUUUUUUUUUUAAGGAAAGACCACAUGAUCUUGGUGAUUGUGGUUGUCUAACCAUUAUUUUUGGUAUAGUAAAGGGUUGAUAUUUAAUUGAGAUUAAUUAAAGGGUUGAUAUCUUUUAAGAAAUGAUUUUUAAUAUUACGGAUCAGAAAUAAAAUCUUAAACUAAAUUGUUGUUGGUGUUAACUCUAAUUCUUUCAAUAUUCCACCAAAAUUCAUGUUUACCCUAAUAUAUUUCCCUCCUAAAUAGUACAUGCCAAUUUGAAUUUCGAAUUUUUUUUAUUGGAAUUGCAAGUCAUUGAUUCAGUUGCAGUAACAAACUUCGUGGUAAAACGUGAUACAUUUGACCUUCCACCAUUAAUUUGAACAAUUUAUUUUUGAAAAAGGUGAUGGAAGUUUUAUUGAAAUUAAGAGUAAAAUGGAUGCAAAGUGUGCUACACAUGUGUAGCCAAAUAAUAUAAUUCACUCUAAACUCAUCCUCUAUAUUGAGCUUUCUACAGGAGUUUCCACUUUUACUGAAUCUGAUGUUUUUCUUUGUUUUUCUUUUGCAUAAUUUGGAGCUGGUUCAAUGUAAUGUUCUGCAUAAUUUGGAGGGAGCUUGAGGGAUUUUUUCAUAGUUUGGAGUGAUAGAGAAAGCUUGAUGCAUAAUGAAAGACACAUGUUUUGUUAUUUGACUUCGCAGAUUAUAUGUUUUCAAAGCGACAUAUGUCUCGACUCUACAUUUUCAUAGUUCAAAAUUGGAUUUUAGCAAUUUGAAGAUCUAUUGAUGUGAUUACAAGUUGUGUUAUAAAAUUUAAUAGAUGUUUGCUUGCUUAUAAGGUUGUACAAUUCUUUCAAAAAAAAAAAAAAAAGGUUGGACAAUUGGUAGUACAUUUCAAAAUUCAAAGAAGUAAACUUCCAUGAGUAGUCUAGGUUUGAAUGUGUGUUGCAGAUUUUUCUUUAAUUGUUUUAUCUUAAUGUCAUAUGUCCUUCAAUAUAUAUUAGCAAACUAAAAGAAGAAUGUAUUACAACACCAUAUGCUUUUGAAAGAAGCAUUUUGGUAGUUUAUCAAAAUGGCAUUGUUUUCACUUAUUAUAAAUGUUUUUGGAUUAAUAUAUAGAUUUAAUAAAAGAUAUGAAUAGUUGAUGUCAAUUUACUAAUCAUUUCAGUAAAUUAAUAUUUAUUUGUGUAAAAUAUGAUAAUAUUAUUCUCUAUAUUAGUAUAUUCAUACUCCACUUGAGUGUUCCCGCUCUUUUUUAAAUUCCAUUUAUUUUAUUUUGUAUCAAAUUCCGACUCAUAAGACCCGUGCGACGUAUGGGUUGGCGUUCUAGUUUAUAUAUAAAAACAAUAAAAUACAACUUUCGAAGGGGAAGCGAUUUGGCUCAACCUCACAAAGGAAAAAUUAAUUUGAUGACUUGGAAACUAAAGCAUGCAUAUUUAUUAUAAGGGGUUUUUCUAUAAUAGAAUAAUAUACUUUUUUUUUUUGCUUUCGCAUCGGUUUUCGACCCAUCAAAGGUGAGCGACUAAUUCGGCUCAUGCGUAAAGGCAUGCGCACUGACCAAAUGUUGUUCCCCCUGGAAAUCGAACCUGAUAUUCCUCGAAAACGUCCUUGGAAGGAGCUCCUUGCCACUGGAGCCCAAACAACUUUGUUAGAAUAAUAUACUUUAGUUAAUACUUCACGUACUUAUUUUACUUUUUCCCUCAAUAAUCGAGAUUUAAAAAUAAAAUAAAAUUGUACUAUAGUUCUUAUUAUAAGAAACAAAACCAAAAAACAUUAAUAUCAAAGUGGAGAAGGGUAAUGCUGUAAAUUCCACUUAAUUAAUUAAAAGCAGAAACCUCUUUCACACCAAAAGACACAUAUGUUUUGUCGCAGGCUACGAUUUUCAACAACCUCUUUCAAAAGUCAGUGCAGUUUGCAACAAUUAAAUCAUCUCAUCAACUUGCAAAAUAUAAUAAUAAUUUUUUUUUAACAGGAAAAUAUAAUAAUAAUAAUUAAUCAUCACAAUUAACAAGUUGUCAAUAAAUCAUCACAAUUAAUAAAUUAUAUCAUUGCAAAUAACUCAUCUGAAAAUGUAGAUAAAAAACCAACGAAUUGGUUCAUCGUCAAUGGCUUUUUCCAUUAAAAAAAAAGUUAGUAGCUUUAAGCAUUUUUUUUUUUUUGAAGGAAUAGUAGCUUUAAGCAUGUAUGCCAGGCUAAUCGACACAUUGCAAGUGCAAAAAUAGGGAGCAGUUAUAUAUGUUUUUAUUUAAUUUGAAAGAUAAAUUGUAAUUACCAAAAAUACCCUUUAAGUUUAAGUGACAUACAAUAGUGGGAUUUGGGUUUUUAGUUAAAACAAUGUGGGUGUAGCUUGCUAACUUGCACCUUAGUGUUUUUAGGUGGGUGUAAGUUAGCAGCCCCAAUGUUCUUAAAACACAUAUUCUAUAAAAUAAGUGGGUGUAUGUUAGCAACUCCUAUAUGCAUUUGCUAAGAUACACCCACUUAUCUUCUAUAAAAUAAGUGGGUGUAUGUUAGCAACUCCUAUAUGCAUUUGCUAGGAUACACCCACUUAUUUUUUAGAAGGUGUGUUUUAGCAACUCCUAUAGACAUUUGCUAGGAUACACCCACUUAUUUUUUUAGAAAGUGUAUGUUAGCAACUCCUAUAUGCAUUUUCUAGGAUAUAUAUAUAUAUAUAUUGUUAUAGUACUCCCUCCGUCCUUAUAUCUAAGCACCUUUUACAUUUUUCACAUUUCUUAAGAAAAGUUGUUGGUGCAAUUAAUGUGUCUAUUUUGUGUGUUAAUAUUACCAAAUUGUUAUUUGUUUGUAUGUGUAUUAAAUUUGACUUUUCAUAUUUUAAGAUAAGUUAGUAGUAUUAAUUAGGGGUAUGUUUAGGAAAAAAUAAUAAAUGCAUAUAGUAAUUCAAAAGGGAUUUACAUCUAAGGACAAAAAUAAAGUUAAAUGUGUGCUUAGAUAUAAACUCUAAACGUUUUGGUGGUUGAAAGCGAAUUACAUCAUGUUCGAUUUUGACUAUCCUUAUUGGAGGAAAAAUCCUUUACUUUGUUUACAGACUGCUUUGUAAUGUCUGUUUCUGUUUUCUUGGAUUAUUGUUGUGUAACUAAUAUUGUUUAGUCCUCUUAAGCACACCUUGUGCUUGAGGGAUUGGUUAUUUCUUUAAUAUAUUUUGCUUAGUUUCUUAAAAAAAAAAAAAAAAAAGGAGCGAUCAGAUAUUUUUAGAAUAAGAUUUUAAUUCCUUUUUCUAAGGGAAGGUGAAUGUAGGUUUUAAAUUUGUUUUUGACAUCUCAAAUCCAAAAAAAAAAAAAAAAAAAAAAGUUAGAAUUUGCCUAAAUGGAUACGGAGAUGUUUCAACACAAACAAUUAUGAUAUAUUUGCUUUCUCAUUUUAAAUUUUGAAUAACAUAACCUCCCCCAACAACUUCCUCUCUCGCCCUUUUCCAAUAUCUUUCUUUAAUCUAUCCCCUAAUCCUCCACUUUCAUAUUAUCAAUUCAUUAUCUUUUUUAAAACAUUUUAUUAGUUCAAGAGCAGAAGGGGGAAUGAAUCCUCUGCAGUGACUGCAGAGUCCAGUUAAAUCUAAGCCUUUGAACACAAUUAAAUACUUAAAAAUAUAUAUGUUAAAAACUUGAAAUUAGGAGAGAUAAUGAAUUUAAUGGUUUAGAUUCCCACAUUGCGGAAAAUAGGAGAAAAACACACUGGAGCAAAUCCUCUCCCACAUAGGGGAAGUUGAGAGGAAAGUGUCAUAGCAUUGGAGAAUGUGAUUGUGUGAAGUGGUUCCGUAAUGAUAUGAUAUGGUGGUGGGGUGACAGGUAUAGAAUAUGAUAUCUUUUCAAAUCUCAAAAACCUAAAUUCAAUUACUACACCAAAUCAUCUUUUUAUUUGGUCAUCGUAAAAAUCUCAAAAUUGAUGAUUCGUCAAAUCUUUUUUGGUUUGAUCAUAAAAAAAAUCUUAAAGAGAUCGAAAGUGACAAAGAUAUAAUUAAAUAUUGAUGGAAGAGACUCAAUUGAGUAAUAUUAAGCAACCAAGAUAGAACAAAAAUUAAUCAAGGGAUAUUCUUCGUUGCUAAUGCUAAGGCAUGGGUUACUUUAUAUUUUUGAGGAAAAAUAAAUAUUACCUCGGUUCCUAUAUAUAAGACAUUUUUGUCAAAAUCACGGAAAUUAAGAAAGUAGGUAUUUAUAUUAAAGUUGUUUGUAAUCACUAUUGUUUUUAUAAUUUUAUCCUUUAAGAUGGAGAGUUAGUUUAUGUUUUGAACAUGUUAUUUAUUGUUGAUUGAAGAAAAUAAUGUGAAAUAAAUAAGGGUAUGUAUGUAAAUAAAUAAUAAAUCUAUUUAGAAAUAACAAAAGGGUCUUAUAAAAAGGGACAACAUAUUUUUUUAAAAAGGUCUUAUAAUUAAGGACGGAGGUAGUAUUAUUUGAUGAAAUUUUCUAUUCGUGCAAUCUGUUUACAUACAUAAUUUAUUAGACUUGAAAAACAUGGGGUGUUUGGAUUAAAUUAGGGUGCAAGUAGAAAAACUCUAAACUAGAAUGCACGAGCAUCAAAAUCAACUCGUUAGUUGAAUCAAUGAAAACUCAAUAGACUUGAUAAUUGAGCAUUUUACUUGUGCUCCAUGUUUAUAUCACCACCAACUAAAGAAAACUAGAAGCACGAAACCACAUUUAGGGUGUGUUUGGAUUGUAAGAGAAAUUGUGAAGAGAGAAAUAGGUGAGAGAGAGUAUGAGAAGAGAGAAGUAUGUGAGAAAUAGAGUAGAUUUGAGGGGUUGUUUGGUACAAGAGAUAUAUGAGAGAAAUAGAAGAGAGAGAAUGUCAUUAUUUUUGAAAUGACCAAAAUGCCUUUCCUAUUAAUAUUAGUGUUACUAAUUUAAUUAUGUGAAUUUUCCUUUAAAAUGAUGAAAUGGUUAGUUAUUAAAUUAUUUUUCUUACCUUACACGACGGAAGAAGUGAAUUCACUAAAAUAAUUUAUUUCAACUAAUUUUUUUCAAUUAUUAAUUAAUUAAAUUUAUGGAAGUUAACCUAAAUUAACAUAUGCAAUGCGAAUGGUGACCCAACAGCCCCAAACCUCAUCUUUUUCAUUUGCUUUCCCAAUUCUUUUUCUCCUCCAACACUUACCCAUUUUUUCAAUGAACCAUAAUCCCAAAUGAACAACUUCUUCACCAUAAGCCUCCUCAAAAUUGCAAUUACAAGUAUAGUAAGAUUCCUUUUAAACGGGUCAUUUCUAUUUCACUUUCAUUAGAGAAUUUCUUCAACUUGGCGGUGCUAAAAAUGAAGAAAAGAGGGAAUAGAUGACAAGGGUAUAAAUGGAAUAGAAAAUAUUAGCUUCUCUCUUUCUCUUUUCUUCGCACUUCAGCGAAGACAGCAAAAAUCUGUGGGCCCCACUAUUCUUUGGUCUCUCUUCUCUAUUUCUCACCAAACCAAACAGAGGAAGUUGUGCUUCUCUCUUCUUUUUCUCUCUUCAAUGGCUCUCUCGCUGCUAUUUCUACUCAACCAAACAAGGCGUUAGAGUGAGGUGUGCACGAUAGAAAAAAUAAAAAAUGCUAGUAAACUGAAAAAUCAAGCCAAACGUGGGGCGUCGUGUAUCUCCUAAAAUGAGAGAAUUCAUUAAUUAUCCGCGUAAAUGGUCGACCAACACUAAAUUCAAUAGGUCAUAAUGUUUUGGCUAGUAGGACAAAUGUAUACAGUAUACCAAUAAAUAACCAGAUUUGUAAAUUACCCAUCGCUUGAUGAAAUUUUUAUACAACACGUUAACCACCACUCUUAAAAUUUUGGAUCAAUUAAGUAAAUGGUCCCUAUAAAUAUUCAAAAUUAUAUUUUUAGUCCCUACAAAAUAAAAUUACAUUUUUUAGUCCCUAUAAAAUUUUUCAUCAGCAUUUUUAGUCAUUAUAAAAUUUUUUCAUUAGCAUAUUUAAUCCCUGUAAAAAAUUUCUAACAACAUUUUUUGUCCCUAAAAUGCUUAAGGAAAAUGUAAUAGGGACUAAAAAAUGUGAUUUUAUAUUUUGUAAAGACUAAAAACAAAACUGUGAAUAUUUACAGAACUAAACUUAAUUAACACUAAAAUCUUUAUCUAUAACAUAUUCAUAUCUUGGCCAUUUUUUUCAUCAUAAAAUACGGUUGAGAUGUACCACUCAAUUACUUUCGCCUAUUAUACCUUUUGACCAAAAUAUGAGUAAAUAUAUUUCUGUUUUUUAUUUUGCAAAAUUUCUCAUGAACCAAAUGAAUAUUAACGGUAGAAUUUCGGCUGUUGCUUUUCCAGAACUUGAACCAUCAACAAACUUACAUCUCUUGUGGUAGACCAUAUCUUCUUAGGCGAAGAAACCCUCACAUGAUCAGAAAUUGGGACUACACACGUCUAUUUAUUCAUGUGAACAAGCUUGUUAUCUUGACAAAUUCCAACUUGGUGGCCAUAUUUCCCACAACUAAAACACACAACAUGUAAUCCUUCUUUUUCAAGAUUAAGUACAAGACCUAAAAUACUUAUAGUGAACUUUAGAAUGAGUUUCUUGUCCAUAUCCAUUUUUAUAUAAGAGAUUUGCUAGAACACACCCAUUAGUUUUUAUGUGUGAAUGUUUUAGCAAGCUACACCUUAGGAUGUAUUUAACUACUUUUUAUUUAUAACUUGCUAAAACACUCAUUCUAAAAAAUAAGUGGGUGUAUUCUAGCAAAUGCAUACAGGAGUUGCUAACAUACACCCACUUAUUUUUUAGAAACGGUGUUUUAGCAACAUUCAUCUUAAGGUGCAUUUAACAAUUUUUUAGUUAUAUCUUUGUUAAAACACACCUUAAUAAAAACUAGUGGAUGUAUCCUUGCAAAAACCCCAUAUAUUUAUUACAUAAAUCUGCUGCAAAGCUACUACUUUGACUGAAAUGUUAGAAAUAGGACUAGACCAAAACACACCCUUCCAUCACUGUAACAGCCUUCCCACGCAAAAACACUCUUUGUUUUUGUUCAUCAAUAUGAAUAUUGAGAAUUCCCCCUCUAGCUGAUGCCUGAACAAAUGUAAUCUAAAAUUUAGUACCACAAUAACAAAAAUAAUCAUAAUGAGGGAAUAGAAAAGAUAGUAAUAAUAGUACUACCUGAUAAGCCUUUAAAUCACACUUUCCUAGUUUCUUGCUCCAAUAGGAUGCCAAUCCACAAUGUGCACUCCCACAAACUGGAUCCUGAAAAGAAAAAUGAGUUACUAUCAGCAUUUUUUUGGAGGCAUUAGUAAUGUAAUUGGAAGAAGAUUAUAUAAUCAUAGUUCAACCUCAUUUACUCCAAAUUUUGGGCAGAAAAAUCGACUGUAGAAAUCAAAUCCCGACUCUGGAGGAGCGAUCCCUGUAACAAUUAUCCCCCUUCCAGGAGAUUUUACAAUUGCAUCAAAUUGUGGUUGCACUUCUAUGACAUUCUUUCCAGAUGUGACAACAACCUAGGAGAAAUAAUAAGCUUCAUAAUGUUCUAUAUGCACAUAUUGCAAAAAAUAUUCAAUCUGUUUUUUCAAAUACAUUUUCAAAAACUUCAAAUAACAUCUUCUCUAAAAAAAGAAUUAUCAAUAGAAAUGGAAAGAAAAAAAAAAAAAAAAGAAUUAUUAGGAAUUACAAGUAAGUCAUCUUGAAUUUGUGUCCUCUUUAUAUCAAUUAUGGAAGCUCCAUCCAAUGCUUGAGAAAUGAGCCAAGUGUCGUCGAAUUUGAACUCUGUGAUAGGGUCAGCAGGAAAAUCCAAUUCAAUAUAAGAUACAUCCUUGGCUUUACCAUUUUGCAAAUUCUUCUUAUCACUAGUGCCAUUGAUCGCUGAGAUCUUUUUGGCAGUUAACAUUCCAGAUAGUGUCACAAAUUCAAUAGUAACAUUGUUGUCCACUAAACCAGAUGCAAAGAGUGCAUGAGAAGCUGCUAAUGUGGCAUGGGCACAAAUAUUAACCUGUAUUAUAAUAUGAUCCAGAUAAUAAUGUUAGUAAUAGUUGACAAAAAAAAAAUGUUUUUUUUGUUACCGACAAAAAAAAAUGUUAAUAAUAAUUAAACAUUGCAUUUAAUAAACAUAUACUAUAUAUUAUGUUGCAUCGGUACGUGUAUCGUGACGUAACAAUACAAGCACGAAAAAUGACAAUUUUAAAAGUAAUAAGGUACCAAUGCAGAGGGAAGACAAUGGUCCAAUGGGUACCGUUGGGCAGGGUACAAUAGGGGUAGCACUUGAGUGAUAUAGAGUUGGGUACAAGCAUUGUGACACUGUGAUUGACCAAUGUCACCAAACUCUAUGUCAUCCAAGUACUAUCCGGUACUAUAGUGCUCAAUCUCAUACCCGCUUUAUAAAAAUUGUUCUUACCCGGCCACGUUUAUAAAAUAAGAGUUUUAUAACAUGUUAAAAUUUUCAAUUUACAAUAAAAGCAUGAAUGAGGAAUAAUGGAGUAGUAGACAAGUACUCAUGUUUCAGAGACUGCAUAUGUUCACGAAAGUUGGUCCAACUCGCAAGGAGUUGAUUGUUAUCCCACAAUAUUGUGACUUCAAAUACAGCAGAAAUCGGGUGAAUAGACUUCGCUGGUAAACAAUUUAGUAAGUAUCCCUAUCAAUAGUUUAUGAAUCUUGAGACGUGCUCCGAUUCUGAUGAGCCCCCAAGACCUAACUCAUCUACUUAUGAAGAAGAAAAAAAGUGUGAGAGUUUGUGGUACUGGAUAAUUAGUUGUACUAUACCUCAACAAUGGGAGUAAACCAUCUAAGACGAAAACGGGGAUUAGUAGUUCCCUUGACAGGAAUCAAAUAGCAGGUAACAUUGAUGUUGAACUCAGCUGCUAAUACUUGCAACCAUUCAUCAUCCUUCUCUUGAUCUAACAAACACACUGCUGCAGGGUUCCCCUUGAACGCCAACUCAGUAAAAGCAUCCACCUGUGUAAUAACAUUAGCAUUAUUAACUAUAUUUCAUCAACAAUAACUAAGUUCAGAUUCAAACAAAAUAAACUCACCACAUAGUAUUUCACUGGUUUCUCUGACAUUGGCAUAUUAUAUGAACAGGUGUUAGUUAGUGCUAUAUAAAAUGGAAUGUCAAACUCAAAGUUGUUAUUUCAUAAUAUGAACACAACCUACUCCAACAUGUUCCAAAGUAUAUACAGACACUGAUGUAGUAAUGUUUGUCUUGUAUGAUUUUAAAAAGAUUCUUUAUGUUUCCUCGUGGCCAGUUUGGCAAUAACAUUGCCGGUAGUUUUGGACAUGGGCACACAUUCUCCUGUAUGUCGUGUUACGUCUCUGUCCCAAGAUUGUACCUUCUUCUUGAACAACAUUGUGGGAGUAAAUAUGGUUAAAAGGUGUGUUAUUUGAACGAUCAUUUGCAUGACAACUUACGAAACAAUCAUAAAUUUACAAAGAAAAUUAGAUAAAUAAUAGAGAGAAAAAGUAAAAAUAUAAUGUAUGUAUGAAAGAGAAAGUUAUCACAGAUUAAAUGUACAAAUAUUAUUUCUCUACUUUUAACUUAAACAAGGGAAUUAUUUAUUUGUUUGACUUAUGAGUACAGAAGUGUGCCCUACCCUCUGGCUUUGCCUCAAGCUCUCUGCUCCAGUCCAUGUUUUAAAGGAAAAAGCUAAGUUGUGCGAGACAGUGGCCUACGGAGAAAAUCACUUACUCAUGAAAAUUAGUUAUUUAUUUUGUUAAAUAAAACACUCAUUAUAGGAUGUAGAGGGAGGAUCAAUGCUACUUUUAAAAAGGUCAAGGAUCUAUAAUGCUCUAUGUGAAAAGGCAACGUUGAGAAUAGACAAAUAUUGAACUCCCAACAAUGUUUAGUGAAAAGCUUGAAUGUCCAGCUUCAUCAAAUCACGGUAAAAUGGAUAUUGAGGCGCGAGAAUUUUGGUUUCAGCGUGAAACCAAACAGGCCACUCGUCACAACUCACAAGUUCAACCGAUAACUUACUACCUCCUCAAUUAUUUGCCCUCUGACAAGCAUAUGAUUCAUGAUUGACUUGACUAAUUCGUAAUCCUAUGUUUAAUUACCCUAGCAAAACAAUUAUCCAACGUCUCAUAAUUUUUUAUUUUUUUUUUAAGAAUAAUAUUUUAUUGAUUGAUUAAUUGAUAGCAACAAGAAAGUAGCCGAUUGGAAUGGUCUUGCAUCAGUCUUACUUUUCUUUUUUAAAAAAAAUCAAUUUUACUUCUUAUACUUGUAUAUCUUUUUUGUCAAAAAAAAAAAAAAAAUAUUUGUAUAUCUUUAUAAAUAGAGCCUAGAAUCGGGAGUUGAGCCACAAGUAUAGAAAAAUCAAGUUUAUCAUGUUAACUUGUGCCCUAAUCAAAAAUAAAUAAAUUCUUGUAUUGUGAAUAUAAAUAAUUAAACAUUAACAACAUUGAAUGCAAAAAUUCUAAAAAGAUAUUUUUAUCUUUAGCUUUUUAACUCGUGUCUAUAUAUUGCCAUUUCCUUUUUAUUAAUAUUUUUUACAAUAAUGUGGAUCGUUGGAAUCGUCUCAACACUUAUUUUUACAUUGUAAUUUUUUUGGAUCUGUUUGGCACUUCAUUUAUAGGUGGUUAGGUUUGUCCGUGGCUGCCCCUUUACAGGUGUCGGAUCAUUUUGCUCAGUUUACUAGUAGUGCUGAUACCACUAAGGUGCACCAUUCUAUUCUUCAGGUUAUUUGGUUUGCUGUAGUUUGGGAAAUAUGGAAGGAAAGAAACAAUAGGUUGUUCAAUGUCAAAGAUUGCUCGGUUAUCCAGGUGAUCGAUAAGAUUAAGUCGCUUGCUUUUACGUGGUUGAGGACGAAGUUUAUUUCUCUUUCCUUCAAUUACCAUUGGUGGUGGCUUAGUCCGUUUACCAUUUUAGGCAUUGGCUAAGAGUUUCUUUUCUGUUUUUGUUUAUGAUCUCUUAGGUAACUUUUGUAUAUAUUGUUCUUGACUCUGAUGUCCUUUCCUGAGUAUGUCUUGUGCUCGGAAAGACUUUUUUGAAGUAGUAUUAUAAUUCAUUUUAGCUUCUUCAAAAAAAAAUAUUUUUUACAAUAAACAUGUAUUUGAUUUGUUAAAAAACCAAGAACCGGGUAAGACAAAUACUUUUGUCCAACGUUUGAUUUAAAAAGCAAUAAAGAACUGCACAAAAUAAUGAUUUGAAAAAGCAAUAAGGACAUCACAAAAAAAGAAAUGGAAUAGACAUCUACCCUUUUUUUGCACCGUACCAAAUUAGUGGACAAAGUUUUGUUUAGAGUUUUUUUUUUUUGCUUAAAUGGAAAUACUGUUUUACAUCUUCACCAACUUUUAAAAAGUUGUUUUUAAUAAAAAAAUAAAUUAUUUUUAACUUUCAUUUAUCUCUUAUCUUUUCGAGAAUUGCUGAUCCCACAUUACAUAAGGCUGUGCCACACGAGUAAAUGUCGUUUUUACCCCUGCGGCAGUUAACUACCGAAGUUUGGAACCGGCUGCAGUUAACUUCCGAAGUUCCUUCGACAGUUAACUGCCGACGCAAAAAAUAAAAAAAAUAAAUGCCGAGGAACUCAUCAAUUUUUUUUUUAUGUUUGAGAUAUCCCACAUGGAACUCUUGAACUCAGUAUGGCACAAUCAACUAGCCCCAAAAUCCUUCGGCACGCUGAAGUAGUUGAAAAUUAAAUCCUGCAGUAAAUUAUCAAAGGUAUUUCCAUCUUAUGUUCUGGAUAAAUUGCAGAAGCUGGAGACGGUGAUAGUAACUGAUUGUCCUGCUCUGAAAGUUGUAUUUGAAACACAAAGUCUACAAGCAGAUGGAGGUAUGCAUAUAAGGUUGGAUAUGCAAUUGAAAACUCUCACUUUGAAGAAUUUACCGAUGUUGAAGCACAUAUGGCAUGGAAUCCUAAUGAAAGCAUCAAGUUCCGAAACAUCUGCCUAUUGGGAGUUAUUGAAUGCAAAGCCCUUAAUUAUGUUCUUCCCCUCUCCACGUACAUCUCAAACAUAAAAAAAAAAAAAUUAUGAGUUCCUCGGCAGUAAAGUGACGAGGUUUUUUUUUUUCGUCGGUAGUUAACUGCAGCCGGUUCCAAACUUCGGUAGUUAACUGCCGCAGGGGCAAAAACGUCAUUUACUCGUGUGGCACAGCCUUAUGUAAUGUGGGAACAACAAUUCUCUAUCUUUUCCAGUUUUUCUUUUUUACCUUUCCUUACUUUGUGCGUUACGAUGAUUAUGAUAUCUCUUUUUUGCGUUGUUUAAAAGUUUAAUGUAAAAAAUUUAUCUUAGAAAUUGUACAUUCAAGACAUUGAACCAACACCAACAAUAAAUAACUUUUUCUACAUAAAAUUUAUCAAUUAUUUCUAUUUUUGAAUCAUUAACAAGUUUUCUAAGGUCAUUUGUUAAAAUAAUUCAAAAAAUUUAAAAUUUUGUUGUGUCUUUGCAUAGUGAAAACCAAACAUUGCACAUCAUAAAGGGUAUUGUAGUAAAUGUUACAUUAUUUUGUCUUGUGCAUUAACAUAUCAAACAAGGUACAAUACAAAAACUGUUUGUCCUGUGCAUCAACCAUCAAACACAACGGCGAUACAAUUUUUUUUCUCCAGUAUCCAACCUUUUGCAAAUCAAAGUCACCCUGAACGAACAAAUUAAAGCCCAAUGAGGUAGGAUAAAAUUUGACUAUAGUCUACACUAAUAAACCAAUAUACUACUAUUUAAUACAUUAAAAGUCUUUCUUUCGAACUAGUGUCUUUUGUGCUAUGAAUUUUUAUCAAAAAUUGGACGUCAAAUCAUAUGAUGAAUGAAUGUUUAAAUGAUUGUUUGAUUAUUUAUAUUAAAAGAGAUACUUUUAUAGUUUUAUUGACAUUGAAACUGAGCAAAUGAUUUAAUAUUCAAAUGAUAUAAAAAAAUCGCAUAGAACAAUUAUCAUAUAUAUAUCCCUCUGUAAAAAAAAAUUAUAAUACUCCCUCCGUCCUAAAUUGUAUGAUGUUUUGGGCAUUUCAUACAUAUUAAGAAAUGUAAUUAAUAUUGUGUGGGAAAGAGAUAUUAUGAGUUGUUUUACAAAAUUAUCCUCAAUAAAUGAUAUGAGAAAGAUAAAUGAAGGAAUUGAAAGAAGAGAGAGUAAUAAAUAGUUAAGGAUAUAAUAGGAAAAGUAAAUUAAUUUUUCAUUGGUAUUGUAAAGCGAUAUAUAAUUUGAGACAAAUAUUUUUUCUAAAGUAACAUACAAUUUGGGACGGAAGGAGUAUACAUUUAUACUUUAAAAUCUAAAAUAUUAUAUGUUUUCUACGCUCGCUAGAAAGAGUAUACUCUCUGUUCUUUUUAGCUAUUAUUUCAGAGUUAUUUGUAUAUACCAAAGAAAAUUAGUAAAUGUUACUAUAUUAAUUCCCCUAAAAAAUGUUAUAUUACUUUUGUUGAUAUUAUAUUUUAUCUUUAUAAUAUUUUUAACAAUUUAUUAUCUCAUUUCAACUAUUGUUCUCCUUGUAAUAAAUUGCACUUUUUCUUCCUAUAGUUUGCCAAUUGUGCAAUUUUGCACCCCAUAGUUUUAAACGAGCAUCCCCUAUAGUUUUUCCCCUUUCUGAUUUUAUGGUCCCCAUGACAUUUAAUGCUGAUAUGUUUGUUUCACGUGCCCCCUUCUCUCAAAAUCUGAAAAAUACCAUUUUUUUUAUUUUUUAAAAAAUGGAAUUACACACGUGGAACACAUUAAUUGAUAAAAAAAUCAGCACUAAAUGUCAUGGGGACCAUAAAAUCAGAAAGGGGGAAAACUAUAAGGGGCAAAAUCGCUCGUUUAAAACUAUGGGGUGCAAAAUCGCACAAUUGGCAAACUAUAGGGGGGAAAAGUGCAAUUAAGCCUACAAUAAUUAAUGUCACGUUCAAUUUUAAAAUUUUAAAAAUGAAAGUUAAAAAUGAACACAAGAGCGUUUAUAUUAGAUUACACCGAUAUGUUCUCGUGAGCUUAGCUCAGCUGGUAUGAACAAAUGCAUAAUAUAUGCAAAGUUUGGAGUUGAAACCCCAGCCACCACCAAAAAAGAUUACACCGAUCUCUUAUAACUUAACUAAGUUUGAGUUCGAAUUAGUUUUAAGCAUGUUAAUGUUUCUCCCUUAAAGGCAUGUGUGCAAAUAGGAUCCAUACACACUAUUCAUAUCAUGAACAAAGUACAGCACAAAGUAUUUAUUUAUUCAAGUCAUUAACUUGAAUGAGGAUUCAAGUAUCAAAAAUGAAAAUCCAAUUUUAGAAUAUUUAUUUAUCACCCCAACAUGGAUUUUGGAAGUUGGGUAUAUUUUUUUCAAUGUUACACAAGAGUUUAAAAAACACAUCUGCUAUGAGUGCAAGUUUGCUACUACUUUGACUGCAAUGUUAAGAAUUGGAUUAGACCAAAACACACCCUUCCAUAACUGUAAUAGCCUUCCCACGUAAAAACACUCUUUGUUUCUGUUCAUCAAUAUGAAUAUUGAGAACUCCUCCCCUAGUUGAUGCCUGCACAAAUGUAAUCUACAGUUUAGUACAACAAUGACAGAGAUAACCCAAUGAGAGAAAAUGGUAGAAUAGUACUCUCUCUCUCUCUCUAUCCCACAACAAGUAAUAAUAAUAUAUUUGAAAAAAAUGUGUUUCAAAAUGAGUGUCACUCUCAAUUUUCAACCUAAUAUUAAUUUCUUUUCUCUAAUUAUACUUUCUGAUUAGUAAUUAUGUGCAUCACUUUCAAGUCAAUAACUUCCUUAGUACGUGUAAAAUAAGCAAAUAUGACGCUUAUCGUGGAAUAGAGAGUACCUGAUAAGCCUUUAAAUCACAUUUUUCGAGCUUCUUGCUCCAAUAGGAUGCCAAGCCACAGUGGGCACUCCCACAAACAGGAUCCUGAACCAAAUAUGAGUUAUCAACAAUAUUAUCUAAUUUCUUCUAUUUUCAUAUCUUCAAUUGAAUAUAGACUGGACUUGCUUUCUAUAAUAUCCUUUUUUUCUUAGAAAUGACCAGCAUUGGACCUUGUAAUUUGUAAACAUAGGUAGUAAUAACAAUAUUAUAACUAAAGUAUACACUCAGAAGAGAACUAAUGUUGUGUUAAAAUACUCAAAUUCUGAACCUUACCUUGGAUAUUGUAUAUUCAACUCUUCAAUCCAUUUGCAUUGUUAAGAAGACCUUAACAAUGCAAUUGGAGGAACAUUAUAUUCAUAGUUCUCAACCACUUACCUCAUUGAUUCCAAAUUUUGGGGCGAAGAAUCGACUGUAGAAGUCAAAUCCAGACUCUGGAGGAGCAAUCCCGGUAACAAUUAAUCCCCUUCCAGGUAAUUUAGCAAUUGCAUCCAGUUGUGGCUGUAUUUCUGUGACAUUUUUUCCAGAUGCGACCACAACCUAGAAGAAAUAAUAAGCUUACCAAUUUUGAAUGUGCACAAAUUACACAAAACAUAGUUGCAGUUUUGCAUUUAAGUAGACUUUGUUCGCAGUCUUUCUGCUAGUUACUAAAUAUUGUGUUAAUAAAUAUGAAAGUUAGAAGACUAAGGAAUUACAAGUAAAUCUUCUCCUGUUUUCUUUAUAUCAAUUAUGGAAGCACCAUUUGUUGCCUCAGAAAUGAGUGAAGUAUCAUCAGAAUUGAAUUCUGCAACAGGGUAAGCAGGAAAAUCCAUUUCAAUAUAAAAUCCAGCUGCAGCUUCACUAUUCAGCAAAUUCGGCACACCAGUCACAUCCAUCGAUGGGAUCUUUCUAACUGUUAAAACUCCAGACAGUGUCACAAAUUCAAUAACAUUCUUGUCCACCAAACCAGAUGAAAACAGUGUGUGUGCAGCUGCUAAUGUAGCAUGGCCACAAAGAUUAACCUGUAGUAGUAUUAUAAUAAGAUCCAUAUAAUGUUAAUACAAAUUGUUUAUAUAAUGUAUUUAAUAGCCUAUGUCUAAGAAUAUUGAAAAGUCUCUGAUUAAAAACAAGUGUGUGUGAUUUUAUGAACAUAAAUUGUACCUCAACAACAGGAGUAAACCAUCUAAGACCAAAACGAGGAAUAGAGGUUCCAUGAAUAGAAGUCAGAUAACAUGUUUCCGAGAUGUUGAAUUCAGCAGCUACUGAUUGCAACCAUUCAUCAUCUUUAUCUUCUUCUAAUAAACACACAGCUGCUGGAUUCCCUUUGAAUGCUGAAUCGGUGAAUGCAUCAACCUGUGUAUGUACAUCAUCAUAUUACUCAGAUUCACACAACAGCUAUGUUUUUUUGUACAGUAAUAAUAACAAAUACAGUUAACAGUUAAAUAAAUAAGCAAACAUACCACGUAGUAUUUGACAUGUUUCUUUGCCAUUUGAUGAUGAGGGAACAAGUGUUGGAGAUAAAACUGGUCAAAGCCCCUAUGGAUGCUGUGGACACAGUCAAUCCACCUCAAUAAUAUAUAGUAAAUGAAAAUCAAAUACACACACACAUGUUUUGAAUCUGGACCUCUGUACCAAAAAAAUAUUAAAUAAUAUGGACCCCUAUAAUUAUAAUAAUAGGCAAUUGCUAAGAAGGGAAAGUGUCUCAUGUGAUAUACCAAGGUUGUUUCCAACUGAACUUGAUACUUCAUCUUUAGGUCUAUCAUCACCUCUCAAGAUAUGUAUUAUUCUAAACCUUUCACCCACCUUAAUGAAGUAAUAUAUAUUAAUUUCAGCGUUAGAAUGUCAGCAUUACAUCCCUACCAUUGGACUUUGUCUUGUCUCCGAGGCAGUCCCAACCAAACAUUAUUGUCUUACGAGCAUUUCUUCCACCAAUCCGCUGUUACACUCUGAGUUCGGUAUAGAAUAAAGGCCAUUGUAACUUUUUUAAGUAGAAAGUUAAGGAUUUCCAUGUCCUUAGUACUUCAGAGAUAGUGAGCGAGAGUGUUGAUUCAGACAAAAACAAGAAAAAGGAAUAAAGUUUUCAACACUAAUAUUUUGUUUUUUCUUUCACCUAAAAAAAAUUGUUUUUCUAGUUUCUAACUCAAGAAAAAUACUUAGAUGGUCAGGACCAUUUAGACAUGUCAUCUAGAGCACACAACAAAAUAUCAUUCAAUUAUAGACGUCAACUUGAUUCAGUAUUCAAGUGUCAAAAUCGAAUUAUAGACGAUUUUAUAAUCAUCCGAAUACGGAUUUUUGGUCUAUUAUUUGCAAAGUUAUACAAGAGUUCAAAUAGACGACAUCUAUUCAUGACAUUAACAAGGUUUCCAAACAUCAAUAUCAUUUUUAUCUGCUCAUGCAUUGGAUGAAUAUGAACAACUAUUCCACUAGAUGAUGCCAACUCAAAAGCAAUCACCAGACCAAUUUAUUCAACUUAAUAAAUCCUACAACACUCAAACCAAGAUUUGUGUAUAUCAAAUACACAAAAUGCUCAGGACUAGACCAAAAUAAUUAAGUGCUCCAAUAACAAUUUUAUCAUCUGAUAGUAAUUAUUACAUGUAUUGGUGCAUGUAUUUGACUGCAAUGUUAGGACUAGGACUAGACCAAAACAGAUCCUUCCAUCACUGUAACAGCCUUCCCACGCAAAAAAACUCUUUGUUUUUGUUCAUCAAUAUGAAUAUUGAGAAUUCCCCCUCUAGCUGAUGCCUGAACAAAUGUAUUCUAAAAAUUAGUACCACAAUGACAAAGAUAAUCACAAUGAGGGAAUAGAAAAGAUAGUAAUAUAAUAGUACUACCUGAUAAGCCUUUAAAUCACACUUCCCCAACUUCUUGCUCCAAUAGGGUGCCAAGCCACAAUGUGCACUCCCACAAACAGGAUCCUGAAAGCAAAUAUAGGUUAUUAACAACAUUAUCUCAUUUCUUCUAUUUUCAUAUCUUGAUGCAGUUUAACAGUUGAAUGUCGAAGAUCAAAAUCUGAAGCUUUACUUCGACAUUCAGUAUUGAAACAUUCUAGUCGUAAUUCUUAGCCAUAUACCUCAUUGAUUCCAUGUUUCGGGCAGAAAUAUCGACUGUAGAAGUCAAAUCCGGACUCUGGAGGAGCGAUCCCUGUAACAAUUAUCCCCAUCCCGGGACAUUUAACAAUUGCAUCAAAUUGUGGUUGUACUUCUGUGACAUUUUCUCCAGAUGUGACAAGAACCUAGGAGAAGUAGUAAACAAACAGUUGAUAUUUGGCAUGUUAGAGUAAAGUAGCAUGAGAUAUAGAUAUUUACUACUCCUUUCCUCAAUAAUCAAGCAGGUUCACAGAUAUUAAAUAACAAUAACAUAUGGUCUUCAGCAUACUCUCAAGGAUAUGUUGUUUUCUUGAAAUAACAAUAACUAAGAUAUCAUUCAUGUUAUCUAUACAAAGUAACUACCAAUUUUGGUGGGACUUUGCUUAUACAAGUUUACUAUUAACAGCACUUUUUUUCUUCAAAUCUUACGGCUACCAUAACCACUAAUUAAUAUCUGCUUAUCAAACAAUAAAUAAAUGUGGAAUAGAGAAGAGGAAUUACAAGUAAAUUAUCUCCAUUUGUUGUCCUCUUUAUAUCAAUAAUGGAAGCACCAUUCAAUGCUCCAGAAAUGAGUGAAGUGUCAUUAGAAUUGAAUUCUGCAAUAGGGUCAGCAGGAAAAUCCAAUUCAAUAUAAAAUCCAACCGGAGCUUCACCGUUCUGCAAAUUCAGUGCACUAGUGACAUCGGUCCUCUUCGCAGUUAAAAUUCCAGAUCGUGUCACAAAUUCAAUAGCAUUCUUGUCCACCAAACCAGAUGAAAGUAGUGUAUGUGCAGCUGCUAGUGUGGCAUGGCCACAAAGAUUGACCUGUGGUAUUAUAAUAGCAUCCAUGUAAUGUCAAUAAUGGUAUAAAUUGCGAUUAUGAAGAUGAGUUUAUUAUCGUUACCUCUAAAUCACAAAGAUAUAAACUAAACAAACACAAAACUGUCCCUAAAAGCACAUCAAUACAAUGGCCAGAUUAGGGUAUUCUUAAAUUUCUUUAGCAUACAUUUUAGUUUUGUUGGCAUUAAUGUCUGUUUUUUUUUCUCUUUAUCAAUCAUUAAGUUUCCCUUUUGUUACGUUAGAAGCAACCUUUGUUCAAAAGAGUAACAAAAAAUUCAAUGCAAAUAACGAACAGCCGGUCUUUGGCCAAUAUUGCCUACGUUUCAGACUGCUGAGACACGCGGCAGUUGCUUUGUAUUACUACCUCCGUUCCUUUUUAAUUGUCACUUUUUGAUAUUUUACACAAACCAAGACAAUCAAUAAAUGGUACUACUUUUGAUACAAUUGUUAUUACUUUUACUAUAAUGACCUUGUUAAUUUAAUAUUUCAUUUCAUAUGUUUCUCUCUCCGCAAUAAAUAUCUAAGGGUAAUAUUGAUAAAACAACAUUUAAUGAUGCAUUGAACUUUGAAACUGACAGUUAAAUAGAAACAAAAAUUUUCUCUAAAAGUGACAAUUAAAAAGGAACGGAGGGAGUAUAAACUAAAUAUUCAAGUUUACAGUGUACAGACGGUAUUUAAAUGCUACGAUCUAGAUUACAACGUUACCUCUGAACCUUUUAAGGCCAUUUCCGCUUAUUAGUUGUUGGGUCACUAGGGGAGCCUUAGGGGACUGUCCACAUCGAGGCUAGAACAACCGCACAAGCAAGAGAGACGCCACACUCUUACCCAAAACCUCAAGGCAAUGGGUUUAUGGGUCCUCUUAAGGUGUUCAACCUUUACUAUUUUAUCCGGGACAUAUAACUCACACUUGCAAACCAACAUUAGUAACUAUGAGUCAUACUCAACUUGCUUUCAAAAAUUGUCACAUGUACUUGGCUCUUAAAUUCUACGGUUACAUUAUACAAAAAGAAAAAAGUAUGUAUGAUUUGUGGUGAUAAAUUGCAGUACCUCAGCAACAGGAGUAAACCAUCUAAGACCAAAACGAGGAAUAGAGGUUCCAUGAAUAGGAGUCAAAUAACAUGUUUCAGAGAUGUUGAAUUCAGCAGCUACUAAUUGCAACCAUUCAUCAUCUUUAUCUUCUUCUAGUAAACACACUGCUGCUGGAUUCCCUUUGAAUGCUGAAUCUGUGAAUGCAUCCACCUGAGUAUGUACCUCAUCACUCAGAUUCACACAACAGCUAUGGUUUUCUUUCACAAUAAUAACAACAGUUAUAACAUUACUCAAUGAAAUAAAUAAAUAAACAAACUACAUACCACGUAGUAUUUCACAGGUUUCUUUGCCAUUGAAGAUAUUCUAACAGUAACAGGUCUUGCUGAUGAAACUGGUCGAUGUCCCUAUGGAAUGAGCAUAUGUACUAUACACAGCUCAGCCGCCUCCAAGACUUUAAAUGAUAACAUUGUAUAAAAGUUUAUGUAAAGUGUAUUGAAAAUUAAAAUUUUUGACUUUUUUUAUAAAUUUUUUUUUCUUAUUUUAGAAUCUAAAGAGUAUUAUGAGACACUCGUUAUCAAGACCUAAUUUAUUAUAAGUGAACAACAAUACAUAUAACACCGACUGGACUGGUCAAUGGUUGUUGGAGUUUUAAUUAAAUCAUUUUCAAACAUUAUUGCUGUAGUAUAAUGAGACAAUUCUGUGGAGUAUAAGAGAAAAAAAAAAAAAAAAAAUACUCCCUCCGUCCUUAUAUAUAACACCCUUUUGCCAAAAUCACAUGAAUUAAGAUAGUGGAUAUUUGUAUUAAAGUUGUUUGUAAUCACUAUUGUUUUUACAAUUUUAUUCUUUAAGAAAGAAGGUUAUUUAUAUUUUCAACAUGUUAUUUAUUGUUGAUUGAAGAAAAAGAUGUAUAAUAAAUAGGAGCAUGUAUGUAAAGAAAUAAUUAAUGUAGUUGAAAAUAACAAAGGAGUCUUAUAAAAAGGGACAAAAAAAAUUCUCAAAAUGGUCUUAUAAUUAAGGACGGAGGGAGCAAUAUCUUCCAACAUGACGUGAUAAAAUUGACUUCUAAAGACAAAAAUCUCUUACCAACAAACAUUAUUUAUAAAAUUAAAGCAAUGAACCCUUUAGUCAAUCUUCAUCUGUUUAAUUUGUGGUCGAAAAUUUUAUAUAAAAAAAUCUCUUACGCUAAAAUUCCCAACUUUUUGAAGAUGAUUCAAAUAAGGAGAUGUUGUAUUUUACUUUAGUCAACAGUAUUAAUCAAUAUCUUAUUUGUAUUCAAUGUAAAUCUUAGGCAAUAGCCAAUUUUCUGCUCAAUUGUCUUCUAAUCUUUAAUCUAAGAAUCUUGAUGAACUACUCUCGCAUUGAAUUUAGAUUGUUGGCCGGAAAAUAGGUAAAAUUUGACCAAAAAUUGCUCAAUCAAGAAAUCGCUAGCCAUCUCGUUUUAUAUAUACACAGACACAUAUUGACAUAUAAAUCGGAUAAUCGUAAGUUUUCAUAAUUAAUAAUUAAAAUCUUAUUUCAUAAGCUACAACAGAGAAAACCAACAAUCAACAUUUUAUUGUUGACUGAUGGUAUCAACCAAUUAAAAAUACAGGUUGGCGAUGAACUAAUUUACAGUGAUAUUUGGAAAAUAAAUUAAAAUUAACUACAGUUUGAACACUGUCCAUCCCCGUACAAAGGGAGGGGCUUGAUUUUAGUUCUGAGAAUAUCCAAUAAUGGGUUUUAUUGUAUGGACAAUGGACAGCAGUUCUGCCCAGAACAAACUACCAACUUCCUUCCUUCGACAUUCUCAGGAAAUGGGACAGAGUGAUCUUUGGGAGCUCCGGAGAAGCCCUUUUCUUCUUCUUUAUCUUAGUCGUCUUUGACGUCUCUGUGCCAUUCAGAUCAGACACCGUGUCUGACGCCAGAUUGUAGAACUGUUUACAAAAACAUCACAGCAAAAACUCUUAGUUUUUUGUGAACAUUUUUCUUCUGUCAUAAUAGAGCAUCAUAUUUUCAGCAUAUUAACAGAGGGGUAGCUUAUCUGAUACUUACCUCACAAACUCCAUGCAGCAACAAUCUAUGGAAAGGAUCUUUAAUACUAAGUUCAAGAAGGUCUCCAUCUGUGCUUUCGGUUAUGAAGGCCCGUAGACAUUCCUGGGAGUAAUGAAGGUUCCAUGUAAACGCCGACAAACAGAUUUUAAACACAGCAAAGGAAAAAAUACAACAAGCACUGAUAAUUUAGCCCCUUUUCCAUGUAACAGGACAGAGCAGCAUCAUAAUAAUCAGGUAUAUACCUCAUAACCCUCUAUGAGUUCAAAAAGAGAGCUGCGGCGAAGUGCCUCUCUUGUAUUACUACCAACUCUACGCCAACCAUUCAACACAGCCAUCUUGUCAGCAUCAAUGCGACCUUCCUUCUUUUCUAAAGAAUUUUCAAAGGCGUGAAUUAUAUUAACCUACCAAACAGAUAAAUCAGAUAGUUGUUUGUCAGUUGUGAAUUGUGAACGCACCACAUCCAUGAAAAUAUAAUCAUAGCAAUUUUCAUACGACAAUAAGCAUGUCAGCAACCCUUUCAAAAAAAAAAAAAGCAUGUCAGCAACCAGCAUACAGAUUAUAUUUUCACCUUGAUCUAAACUAAUAUAAUUCCUCACACAUGUACUCAUAGUUUCACGUGAUUAGGUAACCCACACAAACCACUACAUAUGUAAAUUUUACACAAACCAUGAUAACACUAACAAGAUCUCAAGCACUAUAAACACAAGUCACACCCUAAACAACAUUAGGACCAUCCCAUCAUAAAAAACUGCUAAAGAAACAAGGGAAAUUUUGAAGUUAUAACUAGAAGUUGCUUUGCCAAGUUAAAAGCCAAUAUUAACAAAACUGAUGCUUGUUGAAUCCAAUUACAAGGGCAUCAAAUUGCUUUCUUAAACAGUGGAAGUUUUGAAGAAAUGAUCUGCGAAAGAGAGAAAGAAAUAUAACCUCUUUGUCCAUGUCUAUAUUUCUGAAUCUGUCCCACUCCUCCACAUUAGUCAAGGAAAAUGUUGAAGGUGGAACUUCAUCACCUGUUUUAUGAACCCAAACAUUAUAAACAUAAAAAAGGGAACAACGGCCCAUAGAAAAAGGAAAGAAAGAAUAAAGCCACUAGGAUUGGACUAGUGGUGAGGGGCAUGGGUAGUUUGCACGAGGUCAUAGGUUCAAACCUCAAUGCGACCAUUGUACUCUAAGAAAGGAAAGAAAGAAUAGAUUAGAAAGUGGAUAUAAAAUUAUAAUAUCAAUUAAAGUUCCAAGCCAGUUCACUUUCACAAUAUCCUGCAUAUUUGAUGUAAAUUUUAUAUGCAUUCUCCUUCAUUCAAAUGCACUUAAAUAACAAAGCAUGCACACAGAGAAGAAAAACAUGAAACAUUAAAUAAGUUUCGUGUAUGGAAGAAUCCCAUUCUUGUUGCCUAAAUGCAACUGCAGUCUCAGGCAAAAAGAAAAGAAAAGAAAAAAAAACACCAGUAUAAGCGUUGUGAAUUACUGCAUAACACACACACAUCAGUCACACGAAUAAUUACCAAAUGGUGGUGGAGCAAACAAGCCUCUAAUUUCCUCUGCAUUUAAACGUGGCACAAGUUCCAUCAAGAGGCGGUCAUUUAACCACCUACGAGAUCUUCGAUUUGUGACCUGAAACAGUUAAAAUUAAACUCAAGUUAACUCAGAAUAAGUAAAACCAUGAAUUAAUACAAUACAAGCACUUUUAUGAAAACACAAAUAAACAAUUAGCAAAGAUUAUAGCUUCUUGUGACAUAAUUACAUAAUCUUAAUUUCAGUUCAUAGACGCGCAGUUAUGAAAUUCUUCAUUUAUCCUCCAUAUUUAAGAUGCAAGAGCGACAUAUAGAGAACAAAUUCAGCUAAUAAAUACUCUCAUUAAGGUGAGUUCAUUAGAGUAAGGAAUUUGAAAUGAAUUAAAGCUAAACAAUUAUAAUCAACCAAACAUUUCCUUUUUGGUGUUAGCCCUCUGGUUCCUGGGGAAAAGGACUCUGGUAAUACAGAGUUCGGCCGUGAGGUAGCCAAGAAUUAUUCCACUCAGGAAUCCAAAUCGGGUACCCCCGAUCGAUUCGUCCUUUGGCGGAGCUCAUUAACCACUUGAGCUUAAUCACUUGAUUACAACCAAACAUUUCUUAUAGAGUUAAAAACCAAUUAGAAAUUCUGAUUUGUUUUGUUUCAUUGAAAAGUUGAUAAAAUGUCACUCUGUCAUCUCAUAAAUACUGAUAAGUUUCAUAUUUUGUUCCAUUAUGUAUUGAUAAAAAUCCCAUAACAAAUAAAAAUAAAAAUAAAAAUAAGAACAAAAACUUCCAUUUGUUUCUUAUUUAUCUCACACACUUAACAGAGACAGUAGCAAUAGAUAAAUGCUGAAACAAAAAACAAAUGAUUAUUUUUUUCAAUUGACACAGACACACCUUUCCCGUAAAGCUUUCAAGGAACUCAAUUUUCUUUUCAAUUGACAUCGAAUUGGAUUUUGCACCAUCACCUGCAACAAAAAAAAAAAAAAAUGAAUUUUUUAUUUCAAAACACGAACCUGCAGAUGCAAAUGAAUAGUUGGAAAAUGAACCCCUGGGGUGGUUGAUCAAAUGAGAAGAAAGGAGAAGGUCGAGAUCUCUGUGCUGAAGAACCAUGAUUGUUGAUUGAUGAAGCAAGUAGAUCUAAGGAAGCGGUGAUAUAUGAGAGGAUUGAAACGAACUGAAAUUGAAUAAUGAUUUGUUUCAAGUCAAGAUAAACAAACUAGUGGAAGAGGUAUUUUUUGGUCUCUCAGGGGGAAUAUUCUUUUGCUUAAUUAAUGCAAGUACUGGACCGGGUCCGUCACACGCUAAUCACUUUCUUUUUCCUUUUUUAAAUAUAAAUUAAAAGUCAUUAUAAAUAAAUAUGAUGAAUCUAUCAACAAACUUACAUUAUUAUUAAUGUUAAUAGUAUAGAAUGACAAAUUGAAUAUGUCUACAAAAUAUGAGUUUAUGCAAGUCUAUGGAUCUGAAAUGCUGACAACGUAAAAGUUAUUGAUUAAAUUUGCAUGUGAUUAAAGUUAAUUUUUCAACUCGAAACAAAUAAACAUCGCAUAAAGACAAAAAAAAAAAUCAAAAGAAAUGUAUUCGUGCUAAGACGAUGAAAUCACUAAGCAAACGAAAGAAGACUUAAAAUAUAUGAAAAUCGUUUAGUUUGACUAGAAGAGAAAGAAAAACAAUUUAAAUGAGUAAUAUCGAGGCAAAAAUGACUCAAUAUCAGUAGAUCAAAAAGAAGAAAAGUGAUAAUGAUUCGGGUUUGGAAACGAGAUAAAAAUGGUGAGAAAAAGAGAAAAGUAUUUUUCUAUUGUAUUUCACCAAUUAAAUGUCCAUCACGAUUUUUUAAUAAGAAAAAUUAUUUUUCCAUAUUUCAUGCUUGUCGCGUGUCCUUUGAAAUUUUGAAAAAGCUAUGAAUUUCGAAUUCUAAAUUCAAAUGGGAUAUUUUGGUCAUUUUCAAUUGGAAAAAUAAUUGGAUCAACAUUCCAAACCAUGUUAAGAACAUUUGUCACCCCUUUCAACCAUCACCCCGAACACCUCAUCCUAAAGAAAUCUCCUGGCAACUAAUACCAAAUGAUUUUCAGACAAAUCAAAGAGAUGCUUGAACCUAUCAUGUAAGGGACCGUCCUUUGACCACAAAUCAAUUUAAAAAAUAAUUUAGUCACAUCAUCCACCACCCGCAACAAAUUAUCAUCAAACUAAGUCUCCACCUCCGCUUUCGCACCUCAUUAGAUAUCCACCAUAUCUUUCCAUUUAGUUGACCGUCCCUCCCUCCUUGCCCUCCUUCCUACCCGUACAUAGUGAUUAAAGCCUUAUAUCACAUAUCCCCUGAUCCACAUCCUAGAUAUUUGUUUACGUAACAAAGUUAUAUUAAACUCCCAAAUUAAAUAAUGUCUAAUCAUAAAAUUUUACUAUCUUACGUUUUUCUAUUCAUAAAAUUAAAGUGUCUCUGUCAAAGGAUGUAGUGGUUGUUAGAUUGCCAAUAUUAUGGAGAGGUUAAUUGUACACUGCACAAGUAAAAUUGUAGUGCGUAGUGCAAUAUUUUUUAUACUAUUAGAGUAAUAAAUCGUAAAAUGUUGAGACUUAUUGUUUCAAUGGUAAAAACAAGGGAAAAUUACACACACUUCCCUUGAGGUAUGUACAAAUGUCACUCACACCCCCUUGAUUUCUAAAAAAACAUUGACCUCCCUUAUAACUUAACACUGUUAUAAUUUUGACGGAAACUACUUAACUGCAAUUCUUUCCUACACUGUUACCAAACAAACAUAUUACCCUCAUGUUCAUCGAGUUACUUCCAGAAUUAAACACUGCCACCAAACUAGUUAAUUAAGUCUAAACAAUUGUUUUCAUGGCCGUUUCCACGUAAACUAUAAUGAAAAAACUCAAUUGCCAAAUUUAAAAUUUCUUAAACACGUUCCUUAAUCUCCAAUAAAUAUUUCAAUUCUUGCAUUCUUGAUUUUCAACUGAGUUAAAAAAAAAAAAAUUGACCAACAUUUGACUUUAAAACGUAUGGCUUUAAUUGUUGCUUAUAUGAGAUUGAUUUUGUUGGUGAGUAAAAUCUUAUUAACUUUUUACUAAGAAUAAAAAUUCUUGAGUUAUCUAAGAAAGUGGGGGUGUUGACAAAUCUAGUGACAAAGUGAAUGAAUGGAUAAACUACUAUGCAGGAUGAUGGAAGGAAGAAGAUAGGAGAACAGUUAAAUUAAGCUAACGCCGUUUGGACAGAGGGAUAUCAGGGCCGUUCCUAGAGUUUUACGGGUCUUGGGCAUAGUAUGAAAAAAGGGCCAUUUGUAUUACAUCAUUUUUCUUUUCUUCCGAUAAAUGAUGAAUGAGACAUGUAUUAGUUAUAGUGGUUGACAUACAUCCCAGCUAUGCUGGCACCCCAAGUCACUAUAAUACGAUAUUUUGACAUCCCAGCUAUGCUGACACCCCAAAAUAUUGUUUGUCAAAUACACCUCAUUCUAUAUAUUAUUAAUAAAAAGGAAAAACAAAACAAAAAAGUUGGGGGGGCCGAACCUAACCCAACAAAGUUAAAGUAAAAUUAUAGGUAUGGAUACCAACCUAUCUAUAGAGAAAAAAAACUCUAAUAAAACUAUGACUUAUAGAUAUAAACCAUCAUUGAGAAUAUACAAUAGUUGCACAAAAUAUCCAAAAAACUUCUCUUUUACUCGUGAAGUUAAAAGUUGUUUUUUUGAGCUUUUUGAGAUGCAAAAUCAUUUAUAAUGACAUCAACAUCAAUAUUCUUCGACAUUUCCUUCUCAAUUGACAAAGUAGCCAAACCGUUCAAUCUAUCUUGUGACAUUGAUGACCUCAAGUAGGUUUUAAUCAACUUCAAUUUUGAAAAACUUCUCUCUGUUGAUGCUACAGUCACGGGCACCGUCAAUAAAACUCUGUAAACAAUUGCUACAUUUGGAUAACAAUCUGCAAGUCUGACAAAUUUAAGAAUAUCCAAGGCAUUCAUUGUUUCAGUCGGCAAAGUGCAUUGUAACACUUUUAAUUCUGAGAAAAGAUCGUGAACAUCAACAUCUGAUAAAUCGCCAUGAGAAAAAGUUGAGUGAAAUUUAACACAACAUUCGUUCAACUCAUUAUCAUCCAAAAACAUUAACUUUUGUGAAUCAUACAAAAACCCAAAGACACUCUCAAAUGUCUUCAAUUCUUCAAAUCUAGUUUUCAAAGAAGUAAUUGUCAUAUCAACAACAACAAGAAAAUAGUUAACUCUAAAUGAUUCUUCCGGUGAUUGAUUUUCAUGUUCCUCAUUAUUCUCUCCAAAAUAUUAUUUUUUAAUCACACGACGUUUUGUUUGAAAGAUGGGCUCAACAUUCAUUUCAAGAGCAACACUUUUUGCAAGAUCAAUACUUUUUGUAAAACCUUCCUUUCGAUAUUUUUUAAAAUAUGACAACAUAUUUUCCAAUUGUUUUAUGGUAGAGUCGAUGCUCAUGGACUUAGAUUGCAACUUUUUGCUAACAGUGUUAACAGCAAAUAAAAUAUCAUACCAAACAACCACACCAAGCAAAAAUUCAAAAUUUUCUAGUGCAUUAAUCAAACUCUCCGCCUCACUCUUUGUCUUUGCAUCAUUAUCACAAGAUUCAUAUAAUUCUGACAAAGCCAAUCUUAUUUGGGGACAUUGAAAUCUAAUGGCUUUGACACUCUUAAUUCGACUUUCCCAACGAGUAUUAGACAAAUAUUUCAAAGCCAAUCUUUAUUGUAUUAUUUGACAUAUUCACACAACGAAUUAUAAGAGUCAUUUGUUCUUGAUGACUCAAAUCAGGGGUACAAUCAAGAAUUACCGAAAAGUAUUUUGCCUCUUUAACGAUGUUGAUGAUUGACCUUGUAACACUUUGUGACAAAAGCAAAAUAAUUUCAUUUUGAAUUUUAUGUCCAAGAUAAUGUUUAUGAAUUUCACGAUUCUCAGCGCGUCUCACAUGAUCUUGCAUUACCAAAUCAAAUUCCGCAAUCAUUUCAAUUAAUCCAAGAAAAUUACCAUUACUAUCUUGACUUAAUUUUUCUUUGGAUCCUCGAAAUGCAAGAUCAUUCUUAGCAAGACAUUUCACAACUGAAACUAUUCUACGUAAAACUAGUCUCCAACGCUCUUUUUCUUUCACAAUUUCUUCUUGCAAGUGUUUAUCAAUUGUCUGAUUUUUAUCAAAUCUCAUUCUCAAUUCAUUCCAAGUAUUCAUAUUACUCAUAUGUUCGACACCAUUUUCAUGUUGUUUGAGUCUUUGACUAAUAUGCUUCCAAUCAUUUAAACCCUCAGUUGCAAGUAAACUCAAGUUACUAGAGGUAGAAGAUUUAAACAAUUUACAACAAAAACAAUAUACUUUGUCAACAUGUUUGCAAUAAACUAGCCACUUUCGAUCACUAAUCUCACCAUUACUUAAUUUUCUUGAAUAAUUCGCAUAUGAGAAAUACCUAGAGUAUUUGUCAUUGGGAAAAUUAAGAUUCAUUUCUCGAAUAGGUCCCUUUUCAACUAGAAUAUCCCUUGAGGUGUUAUCAAGAUUCUCUCAAUUUGUUGGAUCAUAAAUAUCAAAAUGAGGAUCAUCACCAAAAUUUUCAAUAUUAUAUGCAUUUGGCACAUUAUUAGGAACAUUUGAAUUAUCAUCAAUUUCCUCAUUUUCAUGAUCCAAAUUUUCAUUGUUGUUGUUUUCCAAAUUUGGCACAUCAUUAGGAACAUUUUCUUGGGUAUCUACCUUUUUGAAAACAAAUUUAUCAAGAGCCCCUUGUUGUGAUUUUAUUAGCUCUUCAUUUCGUUUUCUUUUUUUUCGUUUUUCACUACCAGACAAAUGUUUUUUAGGCAACAUCUUAAAAUAAAUCAGAUACUCAAUAAAAACCAAUACAAACAAACAAAAAAGAAAAACCAUAUUAGUACUAGUAGUAAGUGAAGUAGAGAGCAAUAGCACCUUAAAAUAGACCGAAGUUUUAGCACCUUAAAAUAGACUGAAGUUUUAGCACCUGAAAAUAAAAGUACAACAAAAAACAAAAGAAAUAUAUCAACACUUAAUUAAGCAAAAAUCAAGAAUUGAAUUGAAAAAAAAUAUAUAUACAAAAAUCACGUGUACAUGUACAAACAAAACAAUUAAUUAAAAAAAUAUAUCAAAAAUAAAAAAUGAUUGUCAUAUGUAUGGUACGUGAAGUGAACUCUUAAAUCAAUAUCAUGCUAUAUGCUUUUAAGCUUUUUGGUGUACAGUACAAAUCAUGUUAUAUGGAAAAAUAAAAAAUUCAAUUGGAAAAAUCAUAAAUCAUUCAAUUAGAAUUUUAAAAUUCAACACCUGAAGCAAUUAGAUAAUUGAAACAAUGAUUAUCAAAGAGAAUUGGAAUAAGAAAAAAAAAUAUAAUUAGAAUUCAACACUUGAAGCAAUUAGAGAAUUGAAACAAUAUUAUCAAAUAGAAUUGGAAUAAGAAAGAAAAAAAAAAACCUAAAACAAUUCACCUGGAGAGAAGAGAAUGACUGAUUUUGUAACCUUUUGGUUUUUCUUUUUAGGUUUCUUUUUUCAUCUGUCUUUCUAGUUGCUCAAAAGAAGUUUUUGUUUGUGUGUUAGUUGGGCCCUUUCCAUUAUUUUCCUCUUUAUUGGGUCUUUCCACGUUUUUUUUUUCUGUUUUAUUCCUAAUGGGCCGAUAAAAUGAUUCAGAAUUAGGCCUGCUGGUACGAAUUACUAUACGCAUCCCACUUUUUCCUUAGCUUUGCUAUAUACACCCCCCUAAAAAAAAAUUAGGGCCCCCUACGAGCAUGAGCCCUAGGCCGUCGCACUCGCGGCCUAUGCCUAAGGCCGGCCCUGGAAGAUAUCUAUUUAGUGAAAAUUUAAGGGAGAUAAGUGUCUAUUUAAUAAAUAGAGGGGUGUUAGUGAUAUUUGAGGAAAACUUAAGGGAGAUUAGGGCUGGAAAUGAGUCGAGUCGAACCGAACUUGCCUGAGCUCGGCUCGAUUCGAUAAGAAUUGGUUCGGCUCGAAACUCGGCUUGAGUUUGACACGAACUAUUUUUUCAGCUCGAGUUCGGCUCGUUUAAAAUUCACGAACAGUUCGGUUCGGCUCGUUACGGUUGCUCAACUCGUCCAAAAAAAAAAGUUAAAUUAUAGAUCUUUGAUAUUAUAUAUAUAUAUAUAUUAAAAUUAAAUAUUGAAUUAAAAUAAAAGUUCCCACAAGCAUGCAUAUAAUAGACAUAAAUUAUAUAAAGUUAAAGGUUGCAUAAAUACGAAAAAAAAUAUCUGAUACAAGUAACAAAGACAAAAAAUCCAACAAAAUUCAAUAAGCUGUGAACAAAAUUCAAUUCCCUUCAAGACAAAAUUGUAUUCGGCCACAUUUGAAUUAAAAAAAAUUUAAAAACUAACUCAAAUUGAUUUAUAUAUAUAAUCGAUAAUUGAGUCAUCUCAUGAACCGAACGAGUCGAACUAUAUGUAGCUCAAGUUCAGCUCAUUUAAUUAACGAACUUAAUUUUCAGCUCAAGUCCAGCUCAUUAGGUUUAUGAACCAAGUUCAACGGAUUAAAUAUCGAGUCGAAUGUCGAACUAUAAUCGAGUUGGUUCGGUUCAUUGCCAGCCCUAAGGAAGAUGAAUGUAAUUUACGCGUAAUUUUUUUUAUAGUAAUAUUUUUACACGUUAAGAGAGUGAUUACUUGAGAGAGAAGAGACAAAAUCAUUAUAUCACCAAAAUACAAUGUUAUUUAAAGGAAAUUCCAGUUUCCUUUGGCUUAAGGUUUGUGUUGAGAAAAAGGUAAAUCCCAUGCUCAAAGAGAGAACUUUUGAUGAAGUUUGGCAAGGUGAGGCAGCAACUAACUAGAAAGGAAAAAAAUAGGAUUUUUUUUUGGUAAAAAGGGAAAGAAAAAAAAAAGGAUAAACUCAGUAUUACGUGCUAGCUUUCUGUUUUAUUUUAAAUUUGUGAAAUUUGAGUGAUAAAAGGUAUAAAACUACAUAAUUUUUGGAUUUUUUUUGAAUGACAACCUGCUUUUAAGGAUUGAACAUAUAACAUCGUUAAAACUCUUAAGUAAAGUUUAUCAUCUCAUAAAAUUUGAAUAAUUGGUCUCUACAAAUUACAUUAAAAACAACUAAGUUAUAGUUAUUAUACACCAUAAAACUAAAUGCACACUAAUUUUGUGGUUACCUUGCUAAACUGUGAAUUUUAACGGGUUAUAUGGACCAACAAAGAUAAUUUGGUGGGAUAAAUUAACUUUUUUUUUUUUUUUUUGAAAAUGUGUGUUUUAAAAAAAAUGAAAAAUAUGUGUCGUUAGCCUUUCUCAUUUUAUUUUUGUAGAUAUGUCAACUUUAUUUCUGACGGAUUUUUUUUUUAUUUUCCAUGUCCUUUAUUGAUUUCACUUGUUCAAUUUUGAUUGAUUUUUCUUAACUUAGCACAAACUUAGUGAUGUAUCGACUUAAACCUAAAAUUUUGUCCUUAACCAAAACCAAAGAAAAACACAUGUAAUCAAAGCUACUGAUUCAACUAGUCUGGAUGAUACUUAAAUGAGUUCUUCUAUCUCAAUCAAUUUUAUCUAAGAUCAGGAUCUAAAUCUUAAUUACUUGUUUAAGGCGUUCAUAUAAUUACCACUCAUAUCAACCACAAAAUGAUAAUUAACAAUCACUUCAAUGUAACAUUACUUGAUCAUCUUUCAUUUCUCUUCAAGUUUUUCUCCCACAUUGUGAUUUAACUUUUUUACUUUUACAAAGAAUUUGAAAUUCAUAAUAUCAGGGGUAUAAUCGACAUUCCAUACAAAGCGUGCACCAAAAUCCACCGUACAAUCCACCCCAGUACAACUUCACAGCACAAACAACAACCCACAUUCUUAGCAUCCUUGCAUGUGUACGUAUCCACCAACAAACAAAAAACAGAGCAGAAACAGAGCAAAAUAAAAACCUUACCUUUCGUUCUCUAACUUUCAAUCUUUACACAUUCCAUGAUACCCUUUUAAGCAUUUUGCACUUCCCUUCAUUUGGGUAAGUGAAAGUUUCUUCCUUUACCACUUUUUCAAUACUCAAGUUCUUACCUUUAACCCUUGUUUAGCUUAGUAGUGAAAAAAAAAUAUGGAAGGAGAAAGUAACAACAAAGAGAACAGUUCUAAGCUAGCAUCAUAUGAAGCUGAAGGAACCAGUAACCAUGAUGUUUCUGAGGAACAUCACAUUCAAAACCAAUACUUUGGAAGAAGUGGGAUAGAGUGGAAUUUCUUACCAAAACUACCUCAAAAUAACUAUGUUGAAUAUCUCUCUGAAUCCUCAUGUUAUCUUCCAAAUACUGCCACAACAGCUGAGUAUAAUAUGAUUGGGAAUAGCCAUUAUCACACUCUUGGUAGUAGCAGCAGCAGUUUCAAUGAUCCUGGAAAAGCUGAUUUUGGUUUUAAGCUGAUUGAUUCUUCAAGUCAUGAUUUUGGUGUUAGGAAGGUAAAGUUAAUGAAUGGAAGAAAAAAAAAACUAGUAUUUUCAAAUUUAUGUGAGGUUUUGAAAUUGAUGAUUUUUUUUUUGUUGUGUUUUGUUUUCAGCGUGCAGGGCUUUGGAGAAGUGAUGAAGGAGAGGAAGAAGCUCAUAAAUUUGAAACUGGAAGUAGUCAAAAUCUCCACUAUGCUGAGGUUAGUUAAUUGAGGUCUUUCAAGCAUCUAGUAGUAGUACAUUUCUUAUGAAUAUUUCAAGCAUUUCAAUAUUUUAAAGAUUCUUCACCAUUCUGAAAUUUAUGAUUAAUGUUUUUUCUUAUAGUAGUAGUACAAGCACUUACUGUAUAAGUGCAUAUGUAUAAACUACUUAUAUAACAAAAGAUGUAAGUAAUAAGUUGUUUUCAUAAGUUAUAUUAUGGAGACCUUAUUAAAAUAAGUUAAAAAAAAAACUUGUGAAUAUGUCAUAAGUUGUUUUCAAAAUCUAUCUUGAAGAGCUUAAGGAAAUAAGCUGAAAAAAACUUAUGAACAUUCAUAAACUGUUUUUGUAAGAUCUCUUCAAGAGUUUAUGGAAAUAAGAUGAAAAAAACAUAUGGAAUGUCAUAGACUGUUUUCAGAAGCUCUUAUGAAGAGUUUAUGGAAAUAAGCUAAAAAAACAUACGGACAUGUCAUAAAUUGUUUUUAUAAGCUCUUUCAAAUAGCUUCACGUUUGCAUAUGUGUUAUGUCACUAUGCAAGUUCAAAUAAGUCAAUCUAAACAUAACUUAUAGUGUUAUUGUAAUAAUUUUGUAAUAGGGUCAUGCAACAUGGACACCUGAUUCUGUUGGAGAUAAGCAAUAUGGUUCACAAUUUGAUCAUAUGGGAGUAGUUGCUGCACCUUCUUUACUUCCAAAUCCAAAAUCAGGAGGCAGCUCCACAAAACAGAAAAGUGAGAAAACACGUUACAGUGACCGUGUAAGUAAAAGGUUUUCUAUCUCUGAUAAAAUCAUAACGGCCACAUUCAAAAUGCAGAUAUAUACCACAUAUGAUAUCAUUAAGUUCAAUACUAUGCUAUGCUCUUGUCAACUAGUUAACAAUCUUAUUCCAAUUCAUCAACACAAUUUUGUUUCUUUCUUACCGUGUACUCUUUGAAUAUAGCAACGCAGGCAACGUAUUGCUGAUAACCUCAAAGCUUUACAUGAAUUGCUGCCGACUCCACAUGUGGUAAUCUGUUGUUUAUGAUUUAAGAUUAGUUUUCAAAGGUGUAUUGAAUAAGUUAUUUAAGUAGCUAAUUUUUUGGGACCAAAUUUAAGUAGCUCAUAUAUGUUGAAUUUUAAUUUGCAGGGUAGUCAAGCUUACAUAUUGGAUGAUAUCAUUGACUAUGUUAAAUACUUGCAGAUUCAAGUGAAGGUACCUUUUCAGACCUAAACUAUUUUUUUGAAUGGCAAAUAUUAGUAGUUAGUUGUUAGAUUAGUUUUUUUUCUUCUUUAUCCGGGUUUGAACGUUGUGAUCAAUUUCACAUAGAUAAUCUACAAUAGCUAAAGAAAGUUGUUCCUUUGCAGGAACUAAGUGGAAGUAAAUUGCAAGCUGAUUCAAAUUCUAUACCACUAGUUUUCCAUGAGGUACACAUCUUCCCUUAAUUUCAGUAGAUAUAUUAUAUAUUGCAUCACUGUGAAUUUGUGUGCUUGCCCAAAUUCUGCUCCAUGCAAAUAAUUUCUUGAGUAUUUUCAUAGUUACAGAUAUGUUGUUAUUUGUACAGUUCAUAGGAAAUGUUCUAAUCUAGACCGUUGUAUGUAAAUACAAGUUGUACAUCGUAAACCUUAAGCUUAAAAUAAUAGAAAAGAACUGCAGCCACUCUGCCGUUAGAUGUAGGCACAAUUGACCGAACUUCAUUACUAAAAAUCAUGUGUCCAUUCAUUGACUGCAGAGUUUGCUAUGUUUAAUUUACAGGGUUAUGGGCAUUAUAUAAAGGAACAGGUGUUGAAUGAGCCUCUUGAAGAGAUAAUGGGGAAUCUACUUGAAGUAAAUUCAGCAGCAACAUGUCAGCUACUUGAAAACAAAGGUCUUGUUCUGCUGCCUAUUGCUUUGGUUGAUGAACUGAACCAGGCUAUGCAAUGGUUGAACCAAGCUAGCUAGAUAACUAUUUUUUUUUUCUUUUCUGCAUUAUGGUUGAUUUAUAUUUUGUAUGUUUGGAUUAUUAGGUAUGUGAACCAAGCUAACUCUUGAAAAUCUAUGGUACUCAGAGGUGGUGUGUGUUACUGUUUCUUGUUUCUGUGUUGGGAUUUGUUCGGUUAUGAAACUUGCAUGAAAAGUAAGAUAGGACACAGGACUUAUUUGUGACCGGUGAUUUAGUUCAUGGUUUCAAAAUGUUUCACAUGUUGAUUUAAAUUUAGAAGGAAUAUUCAAUUUUCAUUGAGUGCAUUUUAUUUUAUGUUUCUAGAGAUUUCAUAUUAAAUCAAGACUAAAGGUGAUUCUAGUCUCUGAGAAAAUAUGCUGCACCCAGAUUGGUUUUUCAAAGGAAAAAAGCCAUCGAGAAUUUAAAAGCAUAACAAAUUUAGUCACUUUAUUUAUGCCAACACGUUGAGCAGCAAAGGAAUAACAUAUUUUAAGUAGAUGGUCAAGAGUUCGAUUCUAAAUCCUUCAUGUGGAGAAAAUCCAGUUGAGAUGGAAGCACUCGCCUUGUUUUAUGACGGAUAAAUUUUGCAAUGGAAAUUAGUCGGUGUUACAAUGAGUAUUGGCUUCUUCAAAAAACUCUUCCACUCAAACCAACCUUAUAUCCCCUAUAAACACAUAAUUACAAUGAGUAUUUUCUUCUUUAGAUAAAUCUUUAUCCCUAUAUCGGUCCAUUUCUUCUUCCCUCAUUUCUCUCUCACUUGUAUGAUAGAUUACGAAGCACGGAUACGGAUAUGGACACGAACACGAGACACAACACAAAUAGUAACACGUCAACACCGCUAAUAAUUUAAAAAAAUUAUAUAAUUUAAUAUCCGACACCGGGACACGUCUAAUCCAAAUAGUGUAUGUACUUCAUAAAUGAUAGAUAAGCCAAACAUUUAUGCAAUACUAUACCAUUUGGAAACUCAUGGCAGUAUUGCUGAAAAAUAGUGGUUAUACCCACUAACUGUUACAAUAUUAGAAAACAAUGCAGCAAUUUAUGGAUGAAACCACCACCAAGUUAUAUUAUUUAGAACACGUAAGUAGUGCAAACUAAAGUACUAUUUAUAUCUUAUAUAUUUCCGAAGCAGUGGUAGGACAUAAUCACAAUUGAAUGUUUUGAAUAUUUCUCUUCACAAACGAUAAUAGUUCUGUAAUAUAAGUGCACUUUGAAAUAUAAGUGCUACAUUAUCUCAUACUCCAGCACAUUGAAAUAACGUUAUAUACUACUAAAUUAUCUACAUUCAAUUGAUAUUGGAAAAUUGAGGACGGAAUAUGUACUAUUCUAAUUUUGUACCCACUAAUACUGAAGAAUAUCAACAAAUGCUAUAGUUAAUUUACUUGUCUCUUCUAUAUGAUGUUACACCCAUAACAAGCAGUGAAAUUCUCUCAAUUAAUUUUUUUGGAUUACUUUAAAUUUUGGAGAUUCAUUCGAGCACUAAAUUUUAGUUUUAUUUGAGAAUAAUUCCAGCUUCAUAAUUUAUAUUACAAAAUAUUUACAUACAUACCCUUUUGAUUGUGAAAAUUAAUUAAAAAAAUUUAGUCCAAUCAAGAACCCUUACCACUAUUAUCAGUGUUGUAAGAUCACUCUAAUCUAUCAAUGUCAACCUUAAAAUUGGACACACUAUUGCUAUUUAUCGAACAUGAAAACAGAUGGAUUUAUAUGAUAAUUUAUAGAAAUUGAACUGCACAUUGAAAAUGAAGUUGGAAUUAAUUCAUUGCAGCUGGGGGAAUAAAACAUGGUAGGGUGUAUGCAGUGAACAAUGACCUUUCAUACUAAGUUGGAUCAAUUAGAACAAAGUAUCAAUUAUAUUAAUGUAUCCUGUUACGAAUCUAAAUAUAUAUUUUGUUCACUAUUAGUACUCUAUAACCUUCGAUCUCAUAUCUUAAAAAGUUACAAAGUACUUUUCCUUACAGUUCAUCAGAACAAAUGCACUUCACUUAGGUCAUGAUUCUAUUUCACAUCAUCGUUUCUAUGCAAUUAUAUUAUACGGAAGAAUAAAUCAAUUAAUCAAAUGACAUGGACAUUGUCUAGUGAUGCCCAGAUAAUAAUAAUAAUAAUACUGAAUUUUUUUCUUAAAUAAAAAAAAAAUUAAUGCCGGAAUUUUUUGCUAACUCAACUUAAUUUAGUAAAUAGGCAAUUACCCCCUGAAAUUGUAAGUUUCAUCAAUUACCCUCUGAAAUUAACAAAAUUUCAAUUACCCCCUAAAAAUUAACUGUUAAUUGUUUGCUUUAAUAUCUUUUGAAUCAAGGAUAAGAAAAAAAAACAUAAAUUUUCAAAUUCGGAGGGCAUUUUGCACAUAAGUGCAAAACUUCAGGGGGGUAUUUGCAAAAUGUCAUGUUGACUAACAGAAGAACUUGACAGAGGUAAAUUGAUUAACGUUGUGCAAUUUCAGAGGGUAAUUGAAGUUUUGUUAAUUUUAUGGGGUAAUUGGCGAAACUUACAAUUUCAGGGGGUAAUUGUCUAUUCACUCCAACUUAAUUACUUCGUUAGUUUCUUUUCAAGUGUUGUUUGAUGUAUAAACUUUUGUUAAUAUUUAACUGUCGUUUUGAUACUUUAAUGGUAAAAUUUGUCAAUUGAGAUAUUUCUUAAUUAUACUCACUCAUUUUUAAUAAAACUAAUUAAUGUUAUGUAUUUGCAAAAUUCAAGUUUAUUUUUUGAAACAAAAUUUAAGCUUUUUUUUUUUAUUUGCAAGUUUAAACUUACAUGAAACAAAAUUUUGUUAACCAUAACAAUGAUUCCAUAAAAAGUUAAAAUUCUAUAAAUAAGAUUAUUAACAUUGUUAAAAAUUUCAAAAUCAAAAUAGAAGAACAAUUUUGAUGGAAAAAACAAAAAAACUUUAUCAAUGAUCGAAGAGAAUAAAGAGUUGAAGAAAGAGGACUCAACAAUUUUAUUGGAAAUAGAGUGUGUGAAAAAAAUAUGAAUUUUUUGGAGAGGUGAAGUGUAUCAGAAUUGCUUGUUAUAGUAGAAAAGACGAGGCAUCAAAUUUAUUGAAAAGAAAUAGUAUAUUUAGAAGAAAAAGAAAAGAAGUUAUUAGUGGAUUAAAAUAAGGAGAAUGGCUUGACCAAAAAAAAUAAAUAAACAAGGAGAAUGAUAACCGGUGCCUCAAGGACAUUGGUUAAGAAUUCAAAACAAGUAAAUUUUAUUGAAAAGUUGUGCAAUUAUUAUCUGAUCAAAAGUAACAUCUUAUAUUUUCAAGACAAAAUUUCUAUUUAUAAAUUCCUUAAUUAUUAUCUUGAGGACGGUGGGUUAACAAGACCCUUAAAAUAAAAGUAUAAUAGAAAGAAAUAAAAACUCCAAACAUUCUUUUCUUUAAUAUGAGUGCACUAUUCCAAAACCACAUUUAAAAGAAACAGUAAGAGUACCUCACUAGAAGUUAAUUUCCAUCCUUAAAAAAAGAAGAAGUUAAUUUCCUUAUGCGGUUUCAAUUUUUACAAGGGGAUCAUAACAAAAAAAUGUGCGUAUUUAAAGAGACAAACAAGAUAUUUAAGCCAUUUUACCCCUAAAAAAAGUAUAUAAGCCAUUUUUUUACAAGUUAUUUACCUCAAGCGGUUUCAAUUUGUAAAAGAUUUACAAGCAAUUUAAUUACCAAUUUGUCUUAGGAAAUUAUUUACCAAAAUUAAAAUCACAAGGAGAUGAUGAUCAACUCUAUUCAAAAAAUUAUUUGUGAAACGAAUUCUUUAGAAAUGAUCCAUCUUCUUCAACAUUCAUAUCACUCAUAUAUGCACGUACAUGCUUCUUUGUUGAUGAUUUAUUUUUUGUUUAAAGAGUAUAGUCCUAGCAUUUCUUUCCAACAUAUAAGAGGGAAACUACUACGUUGAUUUCUUGAAUAAGCUCUGUCGCUCUUUAAAGUUAGGUGUGAUCUUUUGAUAGACUCUUCUAUCGGAGUUAAAGACUGUAUUGACACUUGAUGCAGACCUAGUCUUGUUCCUAGUCUUUUCCUGUCAUUUCUAAAAAAGAAAAAAUUUACAAGGAGAUGGUCAUAUAUUGAAAAUAUAAGCGGGAGAGGAAAGUUUGGUAUCCAGCAAGAAUGAAACUUCUUUUUUUGGGCAAGAGGGAAACUUUUUUGUCGUAUUAGUUGAGUCAACCAUGAUGUCAUAAAUCACCUUAGGCUACCAAUUUGACUAAAAAAAACAUUAAAUUCCCAUCCUUUUAAUUUUUAUAUCAUUGACAAGCAUUUUGGUCCACAGUUAGCAAAGACUAAAGAUAUAUGAUACGAUAUGAUUAGUAGCAUAUAUACAACCUUGUUGUAAACAGAUUAAUCUCAAAUAACGAUUUUUAAUGAGAGUACAAAUUCAAAGAUGUCCAAAAAAAAUAUAAAAUAAAUCAAUGUAAAUUCAAAUAGUUUUCUUUAUAUAAAGGGAGAGAAUAGUUUACCCUAUCUUGUGAGACAGGAUGAGUGGAAAAGCUCUUUUUCUAAUCACUAAAUGACAAUGCUACCCAGCUCCAAGGGGGAAAAACGUAUAUAUAAACACACAUUGACACAUACAUACAAAAUACGAAACAAACAAAUAUUAGAGAAUAAUAAGAAUAGACCAUAUCAUGGUCUAUAUAUUCUUUAUGCAAUUUGCCACUUUUGACAUAUAAUCCACUAAAAGUAUAGAACCUACCGUGCCCACUGUUUUCUCAAAAACAAAAAUUAAAUUAGCUUGAAUAAUGAAUUAAUUGAAGAGCUAGCUAGCUUCUAUGAGCCUGCAGUGGACCAGAAACAUUUGUGUAUGGCAUAAAGUACUCAAUACAAAUAUAUUGGCAGAAUAUUUGACAUGGCCACUACCUUCCUUUCUAGUUGACAAUCAAUAAUUCCUAUACACUACUUAAUUUAUUAUAUUCACAUAGAAUCAUACAGUAGCGCACGGAUGAGGUUGAUCUAGUUAAUAAGUAGUUGAUUUCUACUCUGUAAAGAUAUGAGUUUAACUCUGAUUAAGAGUUCUACGUUAAAUAAGGUAAAAUCUAAAAAUAUAUUUAUAAGUUGGAGAUAAUACUCACCUUACAAAUUUAUUAUAUAACUAUGUAUGUCAACAUUCUCUGAUCCUACGAACUCCUAAAAUAGAAUUCGCCUAAACUUUUUAUUAUAAAAAAGAGAGAAGCAUAUAGUAAAUUAUGAAAUCAAAAAGUGGAGUAGAUAGUGACACUUUUGAUGUCUUUGGACUUCCCUAUUCUAUAAAUACUUGAGAGCCCCCUUCUCUUGUCCUCAAUAUUUAGUUACCAUUACCACUUGAGUUCUUGUGUCUAAGCUUUCUCAUCUCCAAAGGCACAGCACAGUCUAAAAGCUAGCUCUUCAUAGUCAUACUUAUGUCUUGAAAAACAAGAACUAGCACAACCUAUGCAACCUUAGCCCUUCACAAUCACAUUCCUCCAAAUCACCAAACAUAAAAUCACCUCUCCAAUAAUUUUUCGUAUAGACAAAUAUUAGUACGUUAGUUGUUAUCUGAAUCAAAAGUCUCCCACCAAAGUCGACGUAGUACUAAUCGAUUCCAAUUCUUACAUCAAAUUUCUUGUUUUUUUUCUUUGAAUUAAUUUUUAUCAUCAUCAUGAGCAUCUCAUUGUCCAUGUGCAGACUAAUUAGACAACCCUUAACAAGCAAUGUUCAAUGCAGUGGCAAAAAACUGAAUAUGAGACAAAUUCAAAAAGAAAAUGUAGUGUUGGUGAUGGGCGCAACAGGAACAGGAAAGUCAAAGCUUUCAAUUGACUUAGCCAAUUAUUUCCCGUCAGAAAUCAUCAACUCAGACAAAAUUCAAAUCUACGAAGGUUUGGACAUAGUAACAAACAAAAUCACUCUAGAAGAACAAAAAGGAAUACCACACCAUUUAUUAGGAACACAUAACCCCAACAUAGAGUUCACAUCCAAUGAUUUUCGCGAAAAAUCAACUUCAGCGAUUGAUUUAAUCAUGAGCGGUGGAAAUCUUCCGAUCAUCGUUGGUGGCUCUAAUUCCUACCUUGAAGCCUUAGUUGACGAUGAUGAUUACAAUUUUCGAUCGAGGUACAAUUUUUGUUGCCUUUGGGUCGAUGUUUCCAUGCCUAUUCUUCGUUCCUACAUAGACCAACGUGUUGAUCAAAUGUUAAACAGUGGAAUGGUUAAUGAGUUGCGACCCUUUUAUAAUCCGAACGGGGAUUACUCAAAAGGGAUAAGAAAAGCCAUCGGUGUUCCUGAAUUCGAUGAGUAUUUUCGUAGAGAAAGUUAUGUUGACGAUGAGACGAGGAAAAUGUUACUUGAUAAAGCAGUGAGUGAAAUGAAGAUAAAUACAUGGAAAUUAGCUAAGAAACAACUGGGAAAAAUUGAUUGGCUUAAGAAUGUUAAGAGAUGGAACAUUCAUCGAUUAGAUGCUACACCUGUUUUUAAGAAGCAUGGAAAAGAAGCUGAUGAAACAUGGAAGAAGAUUGUUGCAGAGCCUAGUGCUAUGAUUGUGGCACAAUUUUUAUAUAACUCAAGAAAUCCUGCUAACGUUGUAAAAUCUUCUUCCAAUCUUAGAGUGCCAAUUUCUCAGGGUGAUCUAAUGGCUACUGCAACAUGUUGAAGAUGAUGAAAUUUUGUUCACCACAGAAAUAAUAUUAUUGAUUAUCAAAUAAUUGUUCCAUUUUUGCUUGAGGGGGUUAAGGAGAGUUUUGAACAAAUAAAUAAAGAUGUUUCAUAUGUGCAUACAAAAAUGUAUUAUCUGGAAUCCCAUUCAAUAUAGAGUUUUUUGAAUAGAAGCAGUGUUUAUUUACAGGGUUAUCUAGUUAGAUUUUACUAUAUAGAUAUUUAUUUAGAUAUUUUUAUAAUGAUUAUAAAUUAUAAUAAAGUGACUUGAUAACUUUGUACCAAAAAAAAAAGUGACUUGAUAACUAUGUAAAAAACUUAUAAUGUUGCUUAUUUAUAUUUGUAUACUUAAUUUUUCCAUACUCAUUUUCUCCCAAUCUCUCUUCUUAUUACAUCUAUCACUUUACUCUACCAGACAAUUCCAGCCAAAUCAGAGCAAACCUUUCUCUCAAUCAUUUACCAACCAAGAACAAACCACAAAAGGAUUGUGCAUGGCACAACACUUUCUUUGGAGUAAAGUUACCAAAUUUAAAAAUAUACAAGCAAAAAGGACUCCAUUAGUUGUACCUUCCUAUUCUUAGUAAUCUCACAACAACAAAAAAUUGAAAAUUGCUUUUCUCCCUUUCAAAAUUACUUAUUCCCUUAAUUCGGUAUGAGUUAACACUCACUCGACAUUUUUCAGCGUAGAUUAACUCACGCUGGCACUUUUAAGAUCGGUUGAACCAACUUAAAAAAUGAUUGAACUAAUCAGUGUCAGUGCAAGUUAACUCACGCUGAAAAAUGUCGAACGAGAGUUAACUCAUGCUGAGUUAAGAGAAUGAGUAAUUUUAAGAGGGAGAAGAGCAAUUUCCAGAAAAAUUAGUUGUGCCUCAUAGUUAUGAUCCAACGCUAACUUAUACACCUCUUUAACAAUAUACAUGUCAUUGUGAUCAUAUCUCCACGCCCGCCUAUCACGGAUUGGGAUUCUCUUCCGUGUCUUUUUUACUAGACCGGAUGGAGUGAGAAUCUUCAACGUCCAUUUAUUUUAUAAUAAUUUUGACCAACUUUGAUAGAAUUAAACGAGUGGUGGAGAUUCCCCUGGACUUUCCAAUCACUGCGAGGAAUCUUUUCCCGCCUAUCACUCACAUUUGCUUGCACAAAAAUUAAUUCCAACUCCCAUUGAAAAGAGUCCUUCUCCAAGACCAACUCCCAUUAUCAACUUCAUUGUGAUAAGGCAAAUUGAAUAGUCUAUUGUAUCUCUCACCCAAACAUUUUUAGGAUAGAAACGAAUGAUAUAUUACUGCUAUUAUUGAAAAAUAUAAAUACGGUUUCUUACAAUUUAAAGUUGCAACUCACUCAAAAAAAUUGUUUAUAAUUUACAAAUUAAUAAAUAAUUCAAAUAGUAUACAAUAUUAUACAAGAUAAUAUUGUUAAACUUCUUAAAAAAAAAAAAGAUAAUAUUGUUAAAAUUUGUAAAUAUUUAUGAAAUAAAAAACAUAUAUAAAACUUUCACAUGAGAGCUUCCUUCCCCUUCCCCAUAACCUAAUGUUAUUUUUGUUGUUGCGGCUUAUCAUCGUCCCAUUAUCUGGAAAAAAAUUAUACAUCCAUUCACUAAAUAAUCAAAUAAAAACAAUGAGCCAAUGUCAACUUGCCAAAACUUCCAGUGAAUUAUAAACCAGACAUCCAAUAUAUUAUCCCAUACUUUAAUGGACCAUCCAUGGCCAAUUAUAAAUUUAAUGAUUUUAAAAUGGUUAUGGACUAUUCUUCAAAAAAAAAAAAAAAGGUUAUGGACUAUUAUACUAGCUAUAUAUUUAUUUAUUUUGAAGAGAGUUAUUUAUGUUGUAUUAUUUUCAUUUUUUGUGGUCUAAUUUUUUUAUUAUUUAAUAGCAAGUUGUGAUAUUUUUUUUCUUUCCUUGCAUGAUUUCUAACACACACACUUAUUCGCAAAGCAUUCAACAGAGGACAAGAUUUCACCAACUUGUACAUGAAGAGAUAACACCUAGCAGUCUUAACAAUAAUAAAUUGACCAUCAUCAUUUCUUAUACACACCCUUAUUCGCAUUUUAUUAUCAUGAGAUGAGAUGAGAUGAGAAAGUAGCAUUUAGGGUACAUUUUAAGAUCCCUAAUGGUAGUUUCUCCCAUUUUUAGUUUAUUACGGUAUCCAUGGAAGAGUCAAGAGAAACAAGAUUUUGGUAAAUGCACAUUGUUCGGAAAAUUUGAUUUUGGUUUAGGGUUUUGCAUUUUGUUUAUUUUAAGUUUUAUCUUUGUUUUUUAAAACAAUCAAUAAAUUUUUUGAAAAAAAAACAAUUAAUAAUUUGACAAACAAAAUAACUAGAUUUAAUCAUAUUUAUGGUGUCAUACCACCCAAUUAGAAUCAAUCUUCACCAUUUUUUUUUCUCUCAAAAUCUAUCAUGCUUUCACAUCCUCACCCUUAAAUCUUCUUUCUCUAUUUUUUUUCUAUAGAUUUUUUCCCCAAAAGAUGAUCAAUCAUAUUCCAUGCACGUCGACUAUUAAAUACGUAUAUAUCUCUUAUUUAAAAGGUAAACAUUGAUUUGCCAUCUUAUUAAUUCUAGCCUCCUUCGUUAGACUCAACUUUCAUUGAUAUCUUUUUUCUCUAUUUCUUUCAUUGUAACUUCGUCUCUCAUUUUCAAUGAAAGAUGACUUCAACUGAAUAACAUAUCACACAAGAGGACCCAUUUCCUACCACAUGUUUGUUUUCAACUGAUUAUAUCAACAAAAACAAGUCACAAAUUCAACGGUCGUAAUUUUCUAAAUAAAAAAAAAUUAAGAGGCAAUAUUUUUAGAUUUAAAAAUGGAAUGAUUAAAAUCUGAAUCACGGAAAGUAUUGGAUUGAAAUUCAAAACUUAAUUUAAGAAAAGAAAGAAAAAGAAACUUACAGUCAAGAAUCAUAUGGAAUUCGUACAGCUGCAUACCAUGCCCAUCAAAUCACAAUAAUUUCCAUGCCUCUCUUUUCCGUACAAUAUGCAGCAUGUGUGUGUGUGUGAUCCUACUCCUACCAGAGUACCAGGUUCCAUCUUUCAAAAAAAGUGGCAACUCUUCUUUGUUUUUCUGCUUUUAAUUAAGGCUUAAAUGCUCUUUUAAUCCCUUAACUAUUUAAUUGGUAUCGCUUUGGUCCCUUAAUUAAAAAAAAGAUUGUUCGAGGAUUUUAAGUUUUUUUUUUUAGUCUCGUUUUGGUCCCUUCUGUUAGGUUUCCGUUAGGUUUUUAAAAAAAAAGUUAACUUCUGGACAUGUGUCACCUUGUCAUUGGCUCUGAGUUUUUUUUUUUUACAAAAUAAUUUAUUAUUUUUUUUAAAAUAUAUAUUUUAAAAAAAAAAUCCCAAAGCCAAUGACAAAGUGACACGUGUCACCUUAUCAUUGGUUAUGGGAAUUAUCUACAAAAAAAAUAUUUUUUAAUAAAAAAAAAUUUAAUAAAACUCAGAGCCAAUGAUAAGGUGACACGUGCCCACACUUAACUUUUUUAUUAAAACUAACAGAAACCUAAUAGAAGGGACCAAAACGAGACUAAAAAAAAACUUAAAAUCCUCAAACAAUCUUUUUUUAGUUAAGGGACCAAAGCGAUACCAAUUAAAUAGUUAAGGAACCAAAAGAGCAUUUAAGCUUUUAAUUAAUAUAUGAGAUAUACUACAUUUUUAUAAUAUUAUACCCCAGAUACGAUUUUUGUUCUUACUAUAUUAUUAGUAUGAAGUUUUUUCUGUCAGUUGUUUAAUGAUGACUAACCUUUAUCGAAGAUCAAUGUGAGAUAUAAGGUGAGUUUUUCUCUUCCAACCAGAUUUUGUUCAUACCCAAAAAUCAAAAAUCAAACAUUUAAUUAUCUACUUAAAGAAUCUAAAUCUCUUCUCACUUGAAUCAAUCAACUCUUGCGGAUUUUUGUUUGUUUUAAGUAAUAGAAGAAAAGGACCAAGAUUUUGUCAAAAGACCAAGAUAUAGUUUUAAUUUUCCAAGCCAAGGGGUCCAGAUUGUCAUCUUUUUCAAUACAAUGCAUAAACGCCUUUGGCUAGAUUCAUAUUCGUCCCUACCCAUACUUUUGGUCAAAGUAGUCCCACUAUUUUUAUAAACAUGAUAUUAGCCGCAAUAUUAACAAUUAAUUUAUAAAUAGCAAACUUUUUUGCUUCAAAAAAAUAAACAGUAAACUUUUUGUAAACAAAACUUCAUAUCAAUAUUUUAAAAACUGCAUCAAACUAUCAAAUAAUUAUAUUUUAUACAACGAUAAUAUAUUCUAUUUUUUAAAGAGGACAAUGAUAAUAUAUACUAAUUAUAUAAAGAGGACAAUGAUAAUAUAUACUAAUUAUAAUAAGAAUUAUAAAAGUUAUUCUUAAUGUGUGUUUGAAUUAUAAAAAUUUGAUACAAAAUCUAGCAUAAACUUUAUCAAAAGAAUGGUUAUUUUUCAAAAGAGUUAUUCCUAAAUAUUCGGUUAUCACUUUAUUUUUGAUACAACAUUCUAUUGGUACUUGCAUGGUAAAAUAAAACCUAAAUAAAUGAAAAUGAUUAGGCUAAAUUAGAUAUUUUAGUCCCAACAUUUUCGUUAGUCAAAUUGGUCUAAUUAUGUUAAUUUUAGACACAAGUGUUUAAGGUGGAUCAACGUUAUAGGUGAUCAACUAAAUAUCUUAUUUAUUUUUUAAAUUUUAACCAUUUGAUUUUUUUGAUAAAAUGGAAAUCAUUAGAUCUUGCAUGUCAAUUGUAUCUAACAGUGAAUCACCAAAACCUUAUUUUUUAUUUUUUAUUUUUCUUCUUCUCCUCGCCUCUUCAUCUUCGUCAUGUUCAAGUAAACCUAGAAGAAAAAGAAGAAAACCUAAAAAAUUUAUUUUAACAGUGAGAUGCUCCGCAUCAAACCUUCAUGUUAUAUUUCAACAUGAGAUGAUUAAAUUUAGUGCAAUUUGAAAAAUUCCACCAUCAUUCUUAGAAUUUUGGGUUCUCAAUUUUAUAAAAUCGAUUUGAUGAUUACCACCAUUUAUAGACACAUUAUCUUGUCAUAUUUUAUUCAAUGUAGAACUCCUUAACAAAUCUCCCCACGCUCAUGACUAAAAUAUUCAAUCGUGACCCAUGCAUGUGUAUGAAGUUUGACCCGAUAGCGGAAAUUUAAUAGAUAUUGAAUAGGUCAUGAUGAAACUCUCUCUCUCUCUCUCACUAAAAUGACUGUAUAACUUCUCAAACUUAAAUUGACUUUCCAACUGUAUGUACAUUUUACCUUUUCACCACUUAGAAGAUAAGGGAAGAGGUGCAAUUCAAAACAUGGAUAGCUAUAAUGGAAACGACCACACCGCAAAUUAGAUUAUUGAAUUCUCUUAUAUUAUAUAUUUGAUAAUUUUAUAUAUUUACCUCUUGUAUUAAAAAUUAGCAUAAAUUUUAUAUUUAAUAUGAUCAAUUCGAUUGAACUCAAAUGAAUAAUGAACUACAGGGAAUGGUUAAGAGUUUGAAAAACCUUUUACAAAAGAGUUUACUAUCCAUUUGUCAUGUGAGAGUUAACCAUCCAUUAAUUAAUGGAUUAAAUGAGACCUCGUCCAAGCAAAUUUAAAGUUAACCAACCAUCAAAUUUAAGGGCGAGAUUUUUUAUGUAAGAAAGUUUGCUUCCCAUUCUUUAUCUUUGAUAACUUUCUCUCUCUCGUUUCGUUUGCCUUAUCAUUCUCUCCAUUCCAAGCAAAUCUUCUACUCUUGUUAUCAUUUUUAACUUAGAUAUAAAGACUCUAAUUCGUAAAUUUAAGAUACAAAAUGUUUGCCAAAAUAACAGUAAAACUCAAUGUGUGACACUGAUACAAUUAUCGUGUAUGUAGCGAGUAAACACCUUGUCUUAUGUAUCUCCAUGUGUGUUACACUAGGCACUUGCGUCAUUUCUCCGCAUAUGUCCCCUAUAAGGUUUCUAAAGAAUGAUGUACCCAGUACAAUAAUGCACUAGAUGGUGUGCCACACAUAGGAAAGGAGAUAUGGACACUUUUUUUAUUCUUUCCUUUUCACUAUUCCGAAGGGUCACAUUGUCUGUGUUGUUAUUGUUUGGAGAUAUAUAAUAUUACACUCAUUUGUCCACAUGAAAUAUACAAAAAGAGAGGAAGAACAAUACCUUUUUUGUGAACUGCAUUUCAUGAUGAUGGGGCAAAAAGAUUAUCUGUUUACUAGCAUAGAAAGAGCUUUUCAUAGUAAUGCUGAUGUACUAAGCUGGAUUUUGUUGGUCUUUUUGUUAGUUCAGCAUUAAAGUUAGCCUAUUUGUACAACCCUUUUGCAAUAAUUUUUUGACAAUUUUCUCUCUCAUACUCACAUUUUCUUCUUAUUCUCUCAUCUUUUUUCUCUCUAUUAUUUUCGACCAAUAAGAAGAAAGAAAAAAAAAUUUGUCAUAGAAGUUGUACCAAUAACUUUGUAUUGUAUCAUAGUGAUAUUUUAGAGUUUAUUAGACCUAAUAAACUAUAGUGACAUAGUGGUUCUUUUUUUGUCCAUGCACCAUAUUAAAUUAAAUACAAAUAGUAUAAGCCGCAAAACCUACAACUAUAUAUAUUUUUUCUUCAUGUGAGUGCUACAACUCACUUUGUUUUUUCCAACCUCUGACGGAACAACAAUUGGAAAUUAAGUCAAACAAUCAACAAGAGCUUGCUAAAUAAAAAGGCUAGGAAUCAGAAAAGAUAAACACAACAUCAGAUUCUUUUCCACUACUGCUACACUUGUUUAGUGGCAUCACCAUUUGUAAUUGUUGCCCAUCAUAUCGGUCCACCACAUGAGUAGGUGACCGUACAAGAUUCUCCAAUGACGACUGAGUACUGAUGCAAAGUUCUUGUGUGGAAAGGAGGCAACCUAACUAAAAAAUCUCACACACGCAUCGACUGUCCUUUUUUCUAGCCCAAUGAGCGGGAACAGUUAUCUUCUUGUGGGGUACCACGAUGUUUGUGUCUGUGGCCGUGCUUGUAGUGGCGACUCUGGUGUCCCUCGUCAUCGUCAGGGGAUGAAAGAGAGGGUGGAGAUAGGUGCAGAAAAGUUGGUAAUCCUGGAGUGUAAGAUAAUGUCGCCACAAGCAGCCUCCUAGUGCUAGUUGGGGUGCACAAAGUGGACGAAGGGCUGGUGGUGGCAGCUGAAUAACUGGAGGACUGAUCUGGCUCUCCACUUUUGGCGCAAAUGCAAGAAAUGUGAGAACCAGAGUUACCGAGUUAAAAAUAUAGAUUCUCUUUGUAUUGUGUCUGUUUUUAGUUUCUUCCUCUUAUGCUAAUACAUCUCAACAUGAAAGUACUUUAACGUUCACACCGGCUCCUUAGAAGUAGAAUUGCUUAAAUACUUGCAAAUUCAUUAGAUAGUUUCCAGUAGGUUGUUUAUGAAGUGAAUUACUAAUCUACUACUACUAUAAAAUAUAAAUAGCAAGAGAAUGUGGUUAGGCGCUGCUUGCUUGCAUUUCUCAUUCAUUUUGUGUGAUGACUUUCUACUUGUAGUAGGUAAGCACAAACUAUUCUAGAUGAGGGUUCAAGCCACCAACAUUGUUCCUGAACAACUCUUUUAACAAUGUUGAGAAGUGCGGCAAAGGAUGUAUCAGAUUAGUGUAAAUGGAUAACAUGUUAAUUUUACAUGGGAGGAAAUCAACUGGAGGACAUUUCAAGCAAAAGAUCCAUACAUCAGAAGGUAUAGAGUGGUGAGAGAGAGAGAGAGAAACACAAAUAUCCAAUGAAAACAGACAAACUUAGGAACCUUCAAAAAACAUGUCUUUAUUUCUACUGCUCACAUCCUCCCAAGUUCAUGCUAAGUAACCACAUAAAACAAAGUUUUUAUGAUACAAAAUUUUAUGUUGAAUCUACAUAGCUUUCACACUGUCUGUCAAAGUACAGAGUGCUUCAACUUUCCAAUAACUUCAACAAGAUCGACCAAAGGACAUGCAAAAAGAUUUCUAACUUUAUUCUACUGUAAAAUACAAUUAAUAGUACAUAACAGCUCAUUAUAAUAAAAAUAAAAAUGUAGAUAUUUAGAACAUUCAAACAGCAGUAAGAUGCUAGAUCAGAUAGGAACACCGGUUUUCUUAAAUUAACAUUCAUGGUGUCAAGAAAAAUUUAAGCUAUUUACACCUUUGAUCAACUUGUUUCCAGUGUUUCAAAAAGCAAAUACAUUAUUACUGCUCAUUUGGAUGGAGAGCCUGGUCAUCAUCCAACAAUGCAGCUCAUUUGCAAAUGUGUACGCGUUUCUUUCGCUUUGAAUUAUCAGAAGAAAUCCAGCAUUAGAUUCCACCAACAGAAAUUCUGCGAUAUCUUACUUGAACUUCAAUACAUGAUUGGUUUGAUACCAAACGGAUUAUUCGGAUUUUGGAGCACCAUGUCCUUAAAUUCCUAAAUUCCAAAGCACAAUGAGUUAGACAAAUACACAUUUAAGCCCAUUCACAACCUCCUACCUUGAUAUACCCUAAUAUGUCUGUAAGUUUUUCAUGCAUUUAUUUCACAGGUUGACAAAGUGCAUAUUAAUACAGUACAAUUCAUGCUACAGGCAAUUUUAUGGUAGAAGGGUGGCCUUGUUACCAAUCAUCUUCCCGACAAUUUCAAGUAAUAAUCUUAAAAUUGAAAUUAUAAUAUUUCAAGGAAUGUGGUGCAAAUGAAAUUUCAAAAACAGGUUUACCAUUAAUACAAUUCUGUAAUUUCAAAAACAGGUUGACCAUUAAUAUCCCUGCAAGUAAAAGGGGGUAUAAUUUAAACAACAAUCCUCCUCUACCAAGAGUAUAAUAGUACACACAUGAAAUUGGUCUCAACAACAUAAGUUUGGGCAAACAAACUUCGAUCUCUAGAUAUAAUAUAGCUAAGCCAAGAAUAUAUUACUGAAGCAUUUUUCAGUAACAGGGUACGAAGAGGUGACCAUUCAAUUUUUUGUAAAACAAUUCAUGCACCUAAAGAUUAACAGUCAUAAUAAAAAGCAAGGAGAAAUGUACUCACAAACAAUGAUCAAGCUUUUUUCUCCUGAGAAAUUUCCAGAUUGAAAACUUUUCACAUAUCUAAUAGCCGAUUUUAUAUUGUUAUUCAGCAACUCUUGUGGCUACAAGUUCCAUAUCUUGCUUAAUUUUCUCUUGUUUCAACUUCAAUUGUUCUGCUCUUAGCCGCCAACCCUCCUUCAGCAGCUCAGCAAAUCUAUCUUUUAUCUGAAGCAGUGGAUCAAUGUCAAUCAACUUAUCCCCAUCAUAUGCUUCUCUCAACAUUGCAGUUUCAAUCCCACCUUUCAACGACAUAUAGAAUAUACCCGAAUGCCUUGUAAAAGCACUUGAAAAUGCAUUUGAAAACCUAUAUUCAUCGCAAAACUUUCCAAGAAUCGGCACCGGAACCCUCUUAUACAACGAAAGAGAAAGCAAUUCAUGGAACACCCCAACAGACCUCUUCUCCAUCUCUCUAGAAGCUUGCUCCAAAUGAGAAACAUCCUCAUAAGGCGAAACAUAAUCAAGUUCCAUCCAAUCCCUAAUCCACUCCCUCAUCUCCUUCUUCAACACAAAACCUGGAGGAAGCUUUACAUUGAAACUGGGCCUAACCCUAAUCCCAGUAGCCCUACUUUCCUCUUCAGCCCUUCUCUCAAUAACAGAUUUUGCAAACUCAGGGUUCCAAUUAACCAAUUCAAGAAAAGAUUUUCCCUCCCCAGGUAAACCAGUUAACCUAAAAUAUUCCGGAUACCUUGGCACCAAAUCAACUAAAAAAUCAUUAGGGAAACCAAAUUCCCUCUUCACAUGAAGCAAUUUAUCAGCACUAACAAUUUUAUCCUUUGACAUCAUCAACAAUUUACACAACUUUGAAACAAUUAACGGCUCAUUCUCCUUAUAAAUCCGUUUCUCUUCCUGCAGAAACUGAAGGAGAUGAUCGCUGACACGGAGAAAUUUCACAGGUUCGGUUUUGGGUUUUAUACGAUCAUAGUAUACAUCGAAUAAAAAAGGAUUUUGAUUCAAAAAGGUAUCAAUUUUAACCUUGAGACGCAUCCUUUGGCGGCGUUUCUCAAGAUAACGUAGAGGGAUGACUUGACCUGGUUCAUUGAGAACUUCUUUAACGACGCGGGCACAUUGCUUGAAGCGUUUAUCUUGUUCUAUAGCUUGGUCAAGUGAUUGGUCCUUGCGCCAUACUACUUUGAGACUGGAUAUAAGUCUUGUGUGAACGUGAAUGUUGAGAUUGUUGUUGAGGUAGUAGCAGAAGAAAGUUUGAAUUUUUGUCUUGGAGAACAUGUCUUGAGCUAGAGGAAAGAAUUACGUUAGUCGUAUAACAUUGUCAUUUUUGACUAAUACAUAAGUCGUACAAUAACAGCACUUAGCCACUACAUAAACACAAAAACAUAGCACAUUACAUUUUGCUUAUAUACCAUAGUCACUGAGUGUUGUGACAUUUCAACAAAUACCUUGUUUGCAAAAUUCAAGCUUAUACAAAGAGAGUAACUGAAUAUACCCAACAAAACCAAAUGAUACAAUGUCAAGAAAAACAAUCGGUUGCACAUAAAAAAAGUAUUGACCAAGCAAAACCUUAAAUUUAAAUUUAACCAAUUCAAAAUGAACUUACUGUUCCUCGAGGGAGAAUCACACACACACACACACACAGUGGAGAGAGGAGACGAGAGUCGCGGCAGAAACUAAAGGAGACGACGGCACGGCGGAACAGAGAUGCGCGAAAUGGAUUGCAGUGCCUUUUUUAAUGUCUCGCUCACAACCGGGACCAAAAACAACGUCUUCACCAAGUGUAAGACCGAAAUCAAACAAAAUAAACUUGCAACUACCUAAAUCAAAAAAGUGUAUAAAAAAAGUUUUAUUCUUUUAACAUAACUCAUUUAAAAAAAAGUUUUUAAUAUUUGUAUAUACUCAUUUAUACUUUAAAAUCCGCGAGUUAUCGUUGGAGCUGUAAAAAUGGACUAUCCAAUUCGUUUAAAAUUGACUUUAAGGAACUUCGACUUUAUCGAGCCAUGUCAAAAAAUGCUAUUAAAAUAUGAAAUAUGUUCUUGACCGACUAGAAAUCAAUGCAACGCUGACACGUGGAUCAACCGUCCAUCGGACCAAGGCGCAUUGCCUAGAGGAAUACGCUAACAAUUGUACACCCUGCCUUACUCGAGCAUGCCCGUACAUCAGACACCCUACAUGUGUCCCUCCAACGGCCUCAGAGCGUAACACUUUACAGAGACAGUUAUUCACACACGCCUAUAUAAAAGUGACUUAACUUCACCGCUAAGGUAAUAUUCACUUUUUCCACACUUUUCACACAUUCCAUCUAUUUCCCAUACUGAUUUGAGUGUUAAAGUGUUAAUGUGUUUGCAGACACUUUUUAUCCCACCGUUAAAACUCGUCGCCGCGUACCGAAGCACAUUAUGCCACUGUUGUCACCAUCAGUUCCAAUGCAAAUUUAUUAUUUUAAACUUCUUAAUAUGUGCAAAUUUGCACAUAAUAGAAAAAUUGUGAAUAUUUUGAAGGAAUUCAAAUGUUUUAAGGUGAAUUCCAUUGUUUGGAUAAUUAAUUUGAAGAAUUUUCAAAAUGAUUGGAAUUUUGAAGUAUUUUGUUCUAGUUAAAUAUAGAGAAUUUCAAAUGACACCUAAAAGCUAUGAAUUUCAAAUUUCUUCAUUGUUAUAAUUUUUCAAAUUUAACAUUUUGAUCCUCAACUUUUCCAAAAUUUUCAAAAUGACCUCAAUAAAUUUCCAAGAAAUUGCAAAUUAACCCUAAAAUUUUUAAAAAAUUAUAAUUUGACCUCAAUUUUUUUAAAUUUACAAAUUGACCCGUAAUUUAAAUUUUCAAACUUGCCUAAAAAAAAUUAAAAUUUGCCAAAAAAUAAUGACCAAUGAAUUUCUUCCAUCAAAAUAAAAUUAUUGAGAAAUGAAAGUAAUUUAAUUGAAUCAUUUAAAUUACUUAAAAUUCUAAAAAAUUUCAAAUUUCCAAAUUAUCUCGUCCAAACACAUCUAAAAUAUUUAUAUGUCUCGAAAAUUGCUAAGGGUGUGUUUGUUUCAAGUUAUAAUUGUUGAUUCCCGAAAAUAAAAUGAUAGAAAUGUAUAUGCUACUAAAAUUUAAUCCUUGGUAUAAAAUGUUUAUGGGAAUAGAAAAAAUUUCCCAAGGAAAAGGGUGGGAAUAAAGUUCCCAUGGAGAUGGGAAUAAAUUCAUAAAUAGUUUACCUAUUAUAAUCCCUAUUUUUAUGGUUCCUAGGAAUAUUAUAAAGCUAACCAAACAUAUUUUUCCUAAAUUUCUUGGAAUAAAAUUCUCAUCUUUAUAUUCCAAGGAAUGUUAUUCCUAAAAAUAAAUUUGAUAAACUUGAAACAAACACACCUAAGAUGACCACGAAAAUAAUUUUUUUUUGCGGUGGUCGAGGUUUGAAACUCAACCUCACAUGUUUUAUGCAUUGUGUCCUAACCGAACUGAAGGAGGACCUUCGAAAACAAUUUAACAUUGUAAAAAAAUUUCACGAAGACAACAAAUUCAAGUCCUAUUUUUAUUUAUUUUUUGUCGUGUUAAUGUGUGAACUCAGAAUUCCUAUAAUGACGUGAAAUUUGGGCCAUGCAUUAUCUUAUAUUCCAAAAACACCCUCGAUUCAUAUAGAUAUUGACAAUAUUAUCCAAUAACUUAGCGAGGUCCCUCUUUCUCUCUCCAUAUCGUUAGUAUUAUUUCCAGACUCAUAGGGAAACAGCGUAACAAUAACAAUAAUUUCGCGUGCAACAAUUACAAUUACACACACUAAGGUCAAGCCCACACACUCUUUCACUAAUCUUUUCGCAUUCUAAUCCCUAUUUCACGUUAUAUAAUCAUAUUCAUUCUUGUUCCUAUUUCAAUCACUUUUCCAUUCUUAUUCCCAAUUCUCAUAAUUCAAUAAUUCAUUUUAGGUACGAUUUUAAUUUCUUUCUUUUUCUUCUUCUUUUUUUCUUUUUUUUUGCAUGUUGUAACUCACAGGGUUUUUUCAAAUUUAUCGUAAUCAUAUCCAUCGCUUUUAAUAAUCAUGCAUAUUCGACGUUAGGGUUUAAUCGAUUUCUAUUUUGUUUGCAGAUACGUGAAACCGUGUGAUCAUGGGUUUCAAUUCUGUCUAUAGAUCUUUGCUCGAUAUUUUUCCACAGGUAUACAUACCUAUUGAGUUAUGAUUGUAGAUUAUUCUUUUAUUGAUUUUAUUUUAAUUAUUAUAUUAUUAUACCUUUUUGAUGCUCUGUGAUCAAGUUUUUUCAAUUUGUUUUCUGGUUCUGAAUUUGUUAACUUGAAUUGGGUUUUCUAAUUUCAAAUUAAUCAAAUAAAAUCAGGUUUAUAAAUUUAACUUUCUAGUUAAGGAUUACGUGCACAGCGUUGCUACUUUCAAAUCCAAGUUCCUUAUGUUUUUAGUCCCAUGUAGUUAUAGCGUUUUCAAAAUUUGUUGCUUAUAGUCUUUAUUGGGCCACCUGCCGCGCUUUCAAAUAAAAUUGGUUUUUGAAUUUGCAAGGAUGAAUCUAAACAUAAAUACUUACUUGUAGAGAUUCAAACCAAAAACACUGUAAUUGUAGGAUCAAAAAUCAUAUUUUGAUCUAAAUUCUGUUAUAACUAUUACUUUCUUAUUGAGGGAUGGUUAUAUCAAUCAUGGAUUAUUAGUUGCUAUAUAUGACAUUUGAGAUUGUCGAAUUUUCAAGGAACUUAAUUGUAAAUUGAUCUGCUUUUGGGAAAAUAACUAUAGUUAAUAUACUGGAGUCAUUAGGUGAUGAUCAAAUGGCUCAUAUUCAGAGUUUGUGUUUUGAACUUCAAUUACUGAGAUUAGAAUGUGAACUAUUCAAGGAUUUUGUUCCACUGACUCUAGUCAUUGUAUUAUUUUCUGACUGUAACAAAUUUUGGUUUGUAGCUGAUGUAUGAAUACUAAUUUGAUGCUAAUAUUUAACCACAAAUAAGUCUUCAGAAAUACAUUCUAUUGCUUCAAUACAAAUAUAUUAAGGAGAUAUUACACCAGGAAUGUGGCUGGCCUGUUACUGAUAUAUGCUUCUUGCUGAUGCCUGUUUCUUUCUUUGUCUGUACAGGUUGAUUCGAGGUUGUUGAGGGCAGUGGCUAUUGAACACUCAAAGGAUGCUGAUAUGGCCGCCGAAGUUGUUCUUAUGGAAAUCAUCCCAGCAAUUUCCAAAAAAUUACUUCCAGCAUCCCCUUCACGGGAUACAAAUCCUAGAGUCAUAGUGAACCUGGAAGGUGCGUCUACUUUUACGACAUGCAUUUCCAUACCAUUCUCUAAAUAGCUUGCUUUGAAAUGGUUUACUAAUAUAUUUCUGAUGACAUAUUGAACAUUUAGAUGAAAGUGAAAGUGAAGAUGAAGGGGAGAUAUUGGCUCGUCAUAAGCUUGUUAAAAGUAUGGAUGUUGGUUCUUCUUCUUCUUCACAUUAUGUACAUCAAGAAAUCGUCAAAUCUGCCAGCUCUUCUUCUGGACCAGAUCUGAAUGUUACAGUAACUUCUCCACAAGUUAAAAGCCCUGUAGCAUUUAUAAACCUUGAAGGUUUGUUCGCUUUCUCUAUACAUUCAAUUCCAUCUAUACCUUGCUUGCUUUGAAAUGGUGUAGUGAUAUAUUUCUAAUGACACAUUGAAUCUUCAGAUGAAAGUGAGGAUGAAGGGAAAAGGUUGGUGCAGUAUCAACCUGUUGAAGAUACUGAUGUUGGGUCUUCAUCAUCAUUGGCAUCAUCAUAUUCUAGACCUGUACAGAUCAUCAAAGCCGCAGAUUCUUCUUGUGGACUGGAUCUGAAUGUAGCUCUUAAUGACUCUACACUUUCAAAUGCCAGUGAGCUAAAUGAUGAAACCAGUCAAUUUUUUGGGGUAAAUAAUGAUGGUAACUUAACUAGAGAUAUCUCUAGUGAAAUUGCCCAGGAAACAUCAAAUGGAUUUUGGCACGAAACUAGUGAAUAUUUUGAUCAGGGACGACUUGUGGAUGUCAUCGUUGAAAAUUUGGCAUCUUCAGGUGUAUAUCACGUGUUGGAGACGGAACAGAUAAAUGUUACAGAGGAGGCUGCCUCCAUGACUAACAAUGGCAAUGGAACUGUGAACAAUCUGAAUGAAGAGUGGGUAGAUUUUGUUCCUACAGCUGAAGAUUAUGAUGCCACUAUCUGCAAUACAAGUCACGGAUUGGAAAAAUCUGAAACUAUCUUGAUCGAGUUAGGAGACUCUGAAGUUCAAACAGUGUCUCAAGUUCAGGGGCUUCCACUAAAUGCUCAAGAUCUUCAGACAGAGUUGAAUACUAAUCAUUCCACCAUUGUUGGCGAAAAUAGUCAUGCUGUAGAUGAGAUUGAUGAGAAUACGACACUUAGCAAAUAUAAUCCAGCAUGCAGUAUUGAUAUGCUUGAGGAGACCAUUGAUGAAGCAAAAACAAAUAAGGUCUUGUCAGUCCUAUUUUCUUAUAUUUGGAUGCUAUGAAUACAAUAUUUACUAGCCUUACUGAUAUUUGAUAGAACUUGUGAAAUUGCCACUGUAGCCAUUGUUACUAUAUUGAAUAAUUGAAUAGUAACUUGUCAUCUUUUGGUACUAUAAAAUAAAAUGUUGUAACUGCACUCAAGUCAUUGAAAUAUGAUAUGAUCUUAACCUCUGACAUCUUAUGCUUUAUUAUUCUACAUUUAUGCAGAAAACCUUGUUUUCAUCAAUGGAAUCUCUUAUCAACUUGAUGAGAGAGGUGGAACAUCAGGAGAAACUUGCAGAGCAGGCCAAUAUAGCAGCGACCACCGGAGGGUUUGAUAUUCUGGAUAGGGUAGAAGAGUAUCAAGCCAUGUUGGUGCACGCUAAAGAAGCAAAUGACAUGGUUGGGAUUGAAAUAAAUAACUGAAAUUAUAUAUGUCAAAGCUUUUAAAUACUUGAUGAUGGUUUUUUUGACGUGAUGAACAAAAAGAAUUUAACCUAAACUUUUUAUUUGCAGCAUGCUGGGGAAAUUUAUGGAGAAAAGGCAAUUCUGGCGACUGAGCUGAAGGAACUUCAAUCACGUCUGUCCAGCUUGUCUGGUGAAAGGGAUGAGUCUCUUGCAAUUCUUGAUGAGGUGCUCAACUUGUUUUUGUUGAAAUUAUUUUCAUCAUAUUUUUCUGUAUAUUUUUUUUCAUUUCAAAAUAAAUAUCCCCAGCAUCUUUCCGGCUAACUGAGAUUAUUCAGAUUGGAGUCAUUGUAGGCCAAUUGAUUUAAGUUUAAUAACACUGUUUAUCGAAUGAACAUCCUGUCUGACAUUUAAUAUUCUCUUGCUUGCAGAUGCGCCAAAGUCUUGAAUCUCGAUUAGCUGCAGCAGACAUGUUGAGGAAAGCGGCGGAGCUUGAAAAGCUUGAAAAAGAGGAGUCGGCAAGGGCGGCACUUCUGGAACAAGAAGCCAUGAUGGAGAAGGUAGUACAGGAAUCACGGAGACUACAGCAGGAAGCUGAAGAGAAUUCAAAGGUUGCUAGUGUUCCCUUUGCUUCCAAACCAUUUCAUUAUUUUUCUGUAAAUAUGGAAGAGUUUUUUUAAUGUGUAAAGUAAGUUCAUAUUGGUCCUCUAAUCUUUAGGGGUUGAGGUCCACUAAUCUUUAGGGCUUGAGAUCCUCUCCAUUUCCCUUUUGGAGAGCGACACAAUGAAUAUAAUAAUAUUUUUAAAAUAAUUUUUAGUGGGUUAAGAUCAUGAUACACUUGGCUCACUUGGCUUUGAUUGGGAAGCAAGGGAUGAUAGCUCCCACCUUGCAUGGGAGGUCUAUUUUGCUCCAUAAAGCUAAAAUUCUCCUAUAAGGCUAAAGUCAUCCUAUUUUGCUCCAUAAAGUUAAAUUCAGUCACUCCCUUUCCUCUCCUAACUCCCAAUCAAAGCCUGUAGAUUAGUUAACGAUUGAUGCACCAUAUUUACCCAGUUUAGAGUCAAGCUCAGCAGAGAAGCUUUUCCCCAUUGUUUAAUGAUUUUUAAUUUUAACGACUCCUUCUCUUCUCUACAGUUACGGGAGUUCCUGAUGGAUCGUGGGCAGGUUGUUGAUACGUUGCAGUAAGUUGUUUCUCUGCUGUUUAUUUUUAGUUGUAUAUAUUUUUUUCUUCCUGAUGUUGAACUAUCAAUACUUUGACUCUGCAACAUUCUAUUGGUUUCAUUUCAUAUUAUUGUGUGAAUACUUGCGACCUUUUUAGUGUAAUUUUGAUUAUGGUCUUGAAGUUACGUCUCUCAUUGCUAAUUUUCCCUAUUUGUUCAUUUUGUUGUACUGGAAGCCAUUUGAUUUACUGUUUCCCUAGAAAUCCUGUUUCAAUAUAUAACUUGAACGUGAUUCUUAUAUUUUCUCUCAGACUUGAACACACUUGCACAUUGUAUUGUCAUGAAUUAAUAGUAUCUUUUGCAGUAGAUGUCUUUAUAAUUCCUAAUUUAUUAUACCUACUUUUUGUUUAACUUUGCAGAGGAGAAAUUUCUGUUAUCUGUCAGGAUAUUAGACUUCUGAAAGAGAAAUUUGAUGCAAAUCUUCCUUUGAGUAAAUCAUUCACAGCAAGUCAGACAAGUUGCAUCUUAGCUUCUUCAGGUUCAUCCCACAAAACUGUGGCAUCUAAUGUGGGUUCUGAGCAUAGUGAUUCUUCCGAAGUACUCAAGAUCACCCAGGCAGCCCCAAUUGUUUUCAAUGGUGGGGAAGAGGAGAGGUCCGAAGAAGAACACAAUGCUCUUAUUGAUGAUGGGUGGGAUAUUUUUGACAAAGAUGCAGAACUGGACUGUGGAGUUUUCUAACUUUUUGUUCUCUCCAAGAGAAGGAAAAAUAUUUCCUACUGCUGUUUAUACCUCAAAAUAAACUUCACAAUUCCUUUGGAUGUUAUUAACUGCUUUUAUAUUUCAGUAUAAAACGGUAUUAGAUGGUAUGUAAUAGCGACACGAGAUCUAGAACAACUUAUUAUCCGUUCAGUUUUGGUUGACUGGUUAUUAUUUCCAAGUUUUGUACAAAAAUUGCUUAAUAGGGAGUCGUUUUGGGAUUUUGUUUAUAAUUUUUAUGUGUUGGUUUUUGCCUUUUUGUUAUAUAUUUAUCUUGAUUUUCAUUUAAUUUCUGGCGUGCUAAAGUUCCUCUACUUACCCCCUUAACCAAGAAUUCCCCCCUAUUGUUGCCUUCAAGUCCAUGCUUUAACUAUCCUAAAUUCUGAAAUCCGAAGCUAUAAACAUAUAGUAGGGGAAUAGAAACUAUAAUUGGUUUGGGUUUGAAUUUAUCUGUAAAUGUAAAAUCUAACAAGUCAAAUACUUACCUGACCAAGCUAUUGGCAUCAUGUCAUUAUUUUAGUCCGAAAGUAGAGGGUGGAGCAUAUGUUAAUAAUAAUCUUAUGUGCGUCAGGUUGUUCCACUGCCGGCUAAUGCAUGUGAUCAUUCGCGUAGGAGUAUUUGUUUUUGCUUCAUACUUUUUACUACUUUGUUUUCGAGAAGUCAUUGGGUGAAAAUUUGAAAUAUACUAAAUCUUGGAUAAAAGAAAGUGUGGUAGCAUAUUGACUAGAGACACAACACCCCAUUCUGGUUGCUGCUCACAAUAAUAAUGGGUAGUUGAUUUAGGCAUUAAUUUACUAUUUCAGGUAGUAACUUCUACUAAUAUAAGGAUCAAAGAGGCAUAGCCAACUAUCUGAUUAAGUCAAUAAUCUUCGGAGGAAUAUUGCAGGAUUGUAAUAUUUUACUCCAAAGUCUAAAUUCAAUCAACAAAAUUGAAAAUAAGCCAGAGUUCUUGAAGAAAUUCAACUUAAAUUUCUAUUAUCAUUAUAUUUAUCUAUACAUGGUAGAGUACUAGAUUGUAAUUUACAGUUUUAGCAGAAAGUCCUGCUUCAUCUAGGUCCUCCUUUACUUACCCUACUACCCAAUAACAAAAACUACAUCACUUUUGAGUGUUAAUAAUUUCACACCCCAAAGUUCCCAUGGAAGAGUAUACAAUUGCAAACAAUACAAGUCUCAAAUAUUCAUCUCCUCUUUCAAAUAUAAUGUUAGUUAGAACCUCAAAUUCUUGUUGAAGCUCUUGAAUACUUACUACUUUUAAUCGUUCCAGCAUAAUAGUAAAACAGUGCAUCUCCAUAUUAUGUAAAGCCUUGCCCUCUGCUGCCUAACUUGCUUUGAACUGUACCGUCCUAAUGAUCGAACCUUUGAAGAACCUUUCAUUGAAAAUACACUAGCAGUAGCAGCCAUUGAUUCUCUUUAUACUUUAAACUUUGUUAUGUGAACAAGUUAUUCAAGAUAUAUAGUAAAGGAAGGUGUAUAUAUUUGAUGUUUGAAUACUCUACAAGUGACUAAUUAACCACAUAUAUAUAUAUAGUUGAAGAGGUGAUGUGUGUGGAGAUAUGAAAGAAAAAAUUUUGUGGUGGAGAUAUGACAUGGAAUGGGGUCCCAUAUGGUUGUAGAAAUUAAACAAGACAUGUAUGACGCACUAUCCACCUAUGCCAAACUAAAUUGAGAUGGACUACACAUCCACUACUAGACUCAUCUCAUCUAUAUGUUCCCUAUUUGUUUUUUUUAUCCAUUCUUAGAUAUAGGAAGGACUAUUAAACAAAUUAUUUAUUUGAAAAUUUAGCACAAUGAAAAGUAGGGUUUGUUUUUUGGUGGUGGUGGAAGAACCUCGAACGUUGCAUAUAUUAUGUAUUGUUCCUAUCAACUGAGGUAAGCUCACAAGGAUGAAAAAUAAGGUGGUGUAUUUGUUGAUGCAUAACCUUUUGAUUUUGUGGGAUGGAUGACUCUGCAUCUACUUAGCAAACAAUGCAUGCGUUCUAUUUUGUUUUAUUUAAUUUAGCUUGUUAAAUCAUAACAUAAUAACAUCAAAGAAGAUGGACCAUCUAUAGUCUGUAUUGUAGUGUAUAAAAAAUAAAAUAAAAUGAACAACCAAACGUGUUGAUUUUUUUGUAUUUGUAUGUUGGUUGCUAAUAAAGACAUAUUUCUAAAGACAGUUAUACCAGACACAUUUUCUUAUGCCUAUUUAAUUACAGAUAGAUCCAAUAAAAUAUUAAACAAGACGGUGGAUAAGGUAUUUUUAUUUUUGAUGUCACUAUGACUAAAUAAAUAUCAAGUAUAAUUUUUCUCACAAGAGGCAUGUAUCAUAUCAUAUGGCAAAUUAAACAAAUAGUGUAUGCACAAAACGACACUGAUACUGGAAUUUCUUUUGUAUCUGUACACCACCACCUCCAGUAAUGAGCCUGUAUAAUAUUGAGAUUAGACUACUUAAAAAAAUAAUUUUAUUAUCUUAAUUACUUUUUUAAGGGAUUAUUAUCAUUACUUAUUUUAUGUAUUAGGUAGAUCACUAACAAUUAUUAAUUACUUUUUAUUUUUAUAGAUUGACGAAAUGAUAAAGACAUCAUAAACUCACACACACAAAGUGGAGGUGUCGGGGUUCAAACCUCAGUCAUAAUGUAAUCGACCUAACAAUUUCAUCAUUUUUGUUAGUUUAGCAAAUACUUAUAAAACAAUUAUGAAUUACUUAUUUUUUUUUUUUACAACAAUUAUGAAUUACUUUUAACUAUGAAGCAAAUACACAAAAACAUAUAUCAUGCCCCCUCAAAAAAAGAAUACAAUACAGAAUAAAACAUGAAAAAUCGACACCUGUAAUAAUUUUAAAAUAAUAAAUUAAUUGAAUGAAGUCAUAUGUAUUGGUGUAGAACCAUGUAUCGGUCACAAGACACAUCUUAUUUCGAGUGUCGAUUUUUAUAAAAAAUUGUUAAAAGAUGCAGUUCAUAUCUCAUAAAAACAUAAAUUUUAAAUAUUAUUGUUCAACGUUUGAUCUCUAAACAUCAAUUGAGUCUGGAGACAUAUUUGUAUCAUGGUGAGUCUUCAAACCCAACUCACAUAAAAAAAAUGGCAAUGGGGGCAUACCUCAUGAUAUCAUGUUUGUUCUUUUAAUUAUUUUAAAAUUCAAAAUAUAAAUGAGCCCUCCAAGCGACUGGUGACAUAUGAUUCCAAUGACAAACAAACCUUAUAUCAUUCCAUUUGAGCAAGCUGAGUCAGGUACACGACAUGCAUAUAUAAUAUGGACAAUAUUGUGUUUUGUCCUCAUGCGUAAAAUUCAACAAAACAUCCAUUGACCUUAAUCCAAUACCAUAUUUAAGUUCUUUAUUAAUAAUGGACACCCUCGUCACUCAAUUUUUUUAAAUAACCCCCAAAACAACAACUUACACCCACUUAUAUUUUACUAAAACAUCCAUUAAAAUCUAUUUGAAAUAGAUUGACAGUUUUGUAACUAGCUUAAAGACAUAGUUGUUUUUCUUAGUUUUCCACCGGAUUUCUGUGAGUUCGAUUAGUUCCAUUUCAAUGCAUCUUGGAAAGAAAAAGCGGAACAUUUGAUUUCAAUACAUUUGCAAGCGUAAAACUUGACAGCCUUUUUUUUUUAAUAGGGAAAAACUUCACAGCAUUACUUAGUAACAAAAAAAAUGUAGUUUAUAAUUAAUUUCCAAAACAAAAACUUCCGUUUAUUCUUCUAAAAAAAACUUCAUUUUAUAAUUAUUAAUUGACAUUAGGUGAUAAGGUUCGUAAAAAAGAAAAGGAAGUAUUUUUUUUUUAUAAAGUAAUAUUAGCAACACUCUCUUUUCAACACUUUCUUUAAUGAUCACUCUCUUAUUGGUUUAAAUCAUUGUGGGUCUACACCUUAAAAAUUGAACUCACACAAAGUAGUUGGACAUACAUUGAUUUCAUCUAAUAAAAGAGUGAGUGCUGGAGAGAGUGUUGCUAGCAUUUUUUUUAUAUAUAUUUAACUAGUGUUUUGAAUUCCUCUAAAAAAAAGUAAUGUUUUGAACUAAAAAGACACAAGUGAAAAUUGAUUUUUCAUUAAAAAACAUUGUUGUGUUUAUUUAGCUUUUUUUCUUCUUCAUGUUUACAAUUGUUUAUUUGAAACAUAAAAUUGAGUGUAAAUAAUCACACACUUUCAUAUUUUAGGUAUAAGUUGUUAAUUUACUCCUUAAUAUUUUUAAGUAGGUGUAAAUUAGCAGUGAUAUAUACACACACAUUCUUUCUAGUGAAAAUUGAAAUUGGAUCCUAAUAUUGUAUAAGAGCUUUGAUUUUGAUGAGACCCCCACACAAGUUGUAACAAAUACAACACGUGUAGUGGAAAUAACACACCAUUUAUUCCUAAGAAGGUAAACUUGAGAUUUCACGUGAACUUGUGUGGUGUGAGAAACUUUCAUGCUCAUGCAAUGAACCACACACUGAGACGUUGAAUAAAAAACUAGAUAUAGAACAUGCUCAUACAUAUUAUUAAAUGUACCUUGAAUGGAACUACACUACACUAGUUGCCUUCCAUGGUCACGUGUCCUCUGUGGUCUCAAAACAUAACUGAGUCAUUAUCAUUGUCGACCUCACAUGCCGGCCGGUUAUCAUUGCCGGAAAGCCAUAACACACGCCAAAUUCCUUCAUAUUCACUUAAUGGUGAAAUUUAGCUACCUAAAGAGUUAUGAUAUCUCACUCUCAUAUUUCAUAAGAUAAGUCCCACAUCGUUUGGCUUGUUAAUGUGAAACUAGACACUAUGACCAUAAUUGGACCAACCGCAAACCUAUAAAAGAUUUGGUUUAUGGUGCUCAAAAUCAUCUAGGGUUAGGUUUUUAGAACAAUCAUCUUCCUAACUUUAAAGAUUACAUAUUUGUGAUAAAGAAAAUAUACAUUUAUACACCAACAAAAAGUUCUCAAAUUGACAAUUUCAUUUGAAGUCACCACCUUGUGAAAUUAACAAUUUUACUAAUUUAAUCAAUCUUUGUGUUGAUAAAAUAAAACGUAGCCAAAAUACUAUUUAAUUCUACUAUAUUACUAGUAGUAUUUUAAGUGUUAAUUAAUAAGUUUUUCAUCCUAAAUAUUGAAUACUAAUUAUAUAAAAGUCUUUUUUUUUAUAUAAAAAAUGAAGAAAUAUUGUGGUAAAAUAAUGAUAAAAAAUAUUGAUAACUAAAAUAAUUAGUUAAUGAUAAAAAAAAAAUUAUAAGGAUGCUUUCAUUGUUAUGAGUUAAUUUUCAUUUAUUGCCAAUAUAUCUGAACUCUACAAAAAAAUUAAUUUUGAAAAAAUUGGGUAACCGAAGCUUUCAUGUCCUUGUCCCAUGCAUAAAACAGAUGUAUGGAACAAAUUGAAGAGAUAAGAUAUUUGUGGUUCAAAUGCGUAAUUGUAUAUACCCCAUAUGCCGGAUGAAGAUUUAAUGUUGGUCUAAAGUUGGAAAAUUGUUCAAUGUCCUCACACACCUAAAGAAAAAAUACCAAAGUUUGUCUUCACAAAGAAUUAAAAUAUAAUGUCUUGCUGACAAGUGCCUUAAUUAGGGCAUUGUUUAAGAAACCCAUAAAAAGAAAUUAUGUCUUAAAAAUAUAAGUCAAACGCACGAAAAUCAUAAUUAUACAAUUUUCAAUGCAAAAAUUACUACUUUUAAAUGCUUAAACAAUACCCUUAAGGCACUUGUUAGCAAUUUCCUAAAAUAUAUUAUGCUGGUGAAGGUGUAUUGUCAAGAGAGAAAGAAGAAAAAAAAGACUAUUGGUCCCUAGACUCAAAAACAAAAUAAUUGAAUUCACCAACCCAUAUUAUCCGGUAUACAUCCCUUCAUAUAGCUUAUGGGCUGUUGAUUUCAAGAUAAAGUUUUAUUAGUGGUCGUGACUUGCUAACAAUCUCUUAAAAAUUAAAGGAGAAUACUAACCAUUGCUCUUGGGACAUUAGAUAAGGGGAUAAAAAUAGAAAUAGAACAUUGGAAAAUGGUGAAAAGUGAUAAAUUUAAUUUUUUAAAAGUCAAAAUGUUGUUGAAACCAAUGCUACUUUUCGCUUCCUAAACCAUUACUCUGAAGGCAAUGGUUAGUAAGACCCAAAAUUAAAUUAGAAUAAAGGAGAAGGAAUUUUUAAUAUUAUCUCAAUUAAUGUUAAGAAAAGACAUGAUAUCGGUUUUAAUUACAAUCACUUGUAAUGGUCAAUUAUAGAUUGGUUACAUGAGAAUUGUUGACAAUAAAAUCGAACCUAGUCCCAAACUAAACCAUUUGCAAUGUAAAUGGACACGAAGACUCUAACCACCAAAUUAAGUGCAAAUUGUUUUAUUAAUUCAAUCUAGAGGGACAAACUAAAAAAAUUUGUUCGACUUAUCAUCAAGAACAAAUCUAAGAUGAUUUUUAGAAAAGGUUUAAGAAGGCAAACAAUAAUUUCAUAAUUUGAUUAAGAUGGAGGUUAUAGCUAAACACACUAAAUAUCUUGGCUAAAAUGGUGUAGGAGGAUCCAAGAAACAUGUGUUUAAUUUCAUCAUUUGGUGUGUUUGUUGAAGUGGUGGAAGGUAGGAAAACUACGUUUAGAGAGAAGCUCAAGUUUGUAGCUUCCAAAUAUCAUGGCAAUAUUUGCAUCGAAACGCGGAAAUUGGUGAUUCAACGCUACACCAAACAUAGUAAUUAUAGGAUUUUAAAGAAGAAAAAAAUGGUCGCAUAAUCUAUUUCUACUUAUGUUAUGAGUUGUUUCCUUCUUUCAAAAUUACAUGACCAACUUGAAAGCGUGAUUUGCAAUUUGUGGUGGGGUAGCAAGUAGAGUGAGUGAAGAUUCAUUGAAAAAAUUGGGAAACUAUUUGCAGAAGGAAUUGUGACGGUGGCAUUGGCUUUAGAACCUUUAGUACUAUUAAUGAAGUCAUGUUAGCAAAAAAAAGUUGGAAGCUUCUAGCUAACCUUAGUUUUUUUUUUUUUUUUGAAGGAUUCUUGCUAACCUUGGUUCUCUUGUGUUUAAGUGCCUUAACAAAAAGUGUUACCCUAAUUCCUCCGAUUUUUUUUUUUUUUUUUUUACGUUAAUUCCUCCGAUUUGGAAGCAAAAGAUUGUAAAUACUAAUUUUUUUAGUUAUGUUUAUGUUAGUAUACGAUCCAUUAAUCAAGCCCUUUAGAUUUAGACUCCUCUCUAUUUAAGAAAUUCAUUCUAGUUUAGUAAUUACAUUAUUGAAAUAUAGUAGCAAUUCCUUUGUCUACACGUGCAAACAAACACUAAGGAUGCACUUGAGCUAAUAAAAAAUGAAUGACAAUACCAUUUUUGUUGUAUAGUGUUUGACUUGUAAAAUUGUUCUAAGGACAAGAUAAACGGGAGGCAAGAAACAU
rnacentral:lncRNA from 1 species